rnacentral:lncRNA from 1 species
GCAUUUGGAGGCGAAUUUGUGACGAAUUGAAAGGGGAUUGUAGGCGAAAGGAAAUUUGGCAAAGCACCGAACAUAACAAUCAAAUACAAACCAACUUUCUAGCACGAAAUCCGUACUAUGAUACCAUCUUAAAAUUUAUUGUAUAGGGCUAAGGAAUGACAAGGCACCCUACAGAGUAUCUGCAGGUUUUUUAGAGUCAUCGUAUAUAAAGCUCUCCCGUAUUUGCAUCCAUCCCUUGCAUGAUAUAGAAGAAAGUAAUAAGAAUAUGGUUAAGGAGAUAGAAGAACUAAACCUAGAUUAAAUAAUCAGAUAUGGCUUUUCUACGUUUUUUGCCUGCGCUUCCCGAACCCUAGAUACAUACAUAGAUGCAGAUGGAGAUGGAGUUCUUGCCAUUUAUAGGCCCAGUAAACAAUGGUUUUGACCAAAUUAUUUCCAUCGUCUUUCUAUCCUACUUUCUUACUCCACUUUAGAUGAUAUAUUCCCCUAUUUUUGCAACAACAAAAAAAAACACUUAUUUUUGUAAUUUAAGAUCAUUUUUUAAGAUCGUAAAAUACAAAAACCUGAUUACCGGAUUUUAUUGAUUAUAAUAUCCAUUCAUCAACUAGUUUUAAUCUGUUGAAUACCAACGGCCAUAUGGUUCUUUCAAUGUGCAUUUGUAAGCAUAGGCACCCCAUGCUAAGCUUUUUUCAUUACCAACACUAAAGUAUAAUUACAAAAUAUGAAACCAUGAAUCAAAAAUCACUCUUUUCAAAAAAUAAUUGUUGUAAACAUAGACAUAAAGAAUCGAAAGAUAAUAAUAAGCAAACGAAAGAAAUGUAAUGGUGUUUGUGACGAAUUAAAAGGGGGUUGUAAGCGAAAAGAAAUUUGGAAAAGUGCCAAACAUCACAAUCAAAUACAAACCAACUUUCAAGCACGAAAUUCGUACUACGAUACCAUCUUAAAAUUUCAUGUAUAGGGCUAAGGAAUGAUAAGGAUCCAACAGAGUACCUGCAAGUUUUCAGAGCCACCAUAUGUAAAGCUCUCCCCUAAUUGCAUCCAGUGUGACGCCCCCAAAAUAGGUAUACAUCACCCAUCUUGAGUCGCUAAAUACAUGGUACAAAAUUCAAAUACAACUUAAUUAUACAACAGUCGUGUAAAAUACGAAAAAACAUAAUCUAAGAGUUUUAAUAAGAAUAUUGUCAUCUAGACAAUAUCCACACUCAAUGGAGUCCUCAUUACAUUUAUUGUCACACUAUUUAACAGAAUAGUGAGGACUACUAAUGCUGUCAUCUGGACCGUCACUCCAUUCCCCGACUAGUCCCGGCUACGUUCUNNNNNNNNNNNNNNNNNNNNNNNNNNNNNNNNNNNNNNNNNNNNNNNNNNNNNNNNNNNNNNNNNNNNNNNNNNNNNNNNNNNNNNNNNNNNNNNNNNNNACUCAGCUUAAUAAAUAAAUCAUAUCAUCGAGUCAUCCUUGCAUUACGGGCCAAGGAUAUUCAUUAAAUCAUCAAUGGUUAUGACUAUACCGAAUAAUCCCUGGUCAUAAUCAUACCAAAAACUGUCCAUCAAUGCACUAUAGGCUACUGAGGACUUUUACCACAUCAUUUAUAACAUUACAGGUCAUGAUUAUAUUGAAUAAUCCCUGGCCAUAAUCAUACCAAGUCCAUCUAUGCACGUAAGCCAAAGAUGACUUUCAUCACAAUAUAAGCAUGAAGAUGAUGACAAUGACAUAAUAAUUUAAUAAAAUAAGUUCAAGAAUAAUUUAACCAGUAUAUUCUACUAAUUUCAUGGAGUAUAGAAGCCAAAACUUUAACCGAAUGAGUGUCAUAGAAUAUAUGAAACUUCAAAUGGAUUUUCACCCGCCAUGCGGUAAUCCACGUAGACAGAUCAUUUCCACAAUUUAAUAAGGAAUGAAUACGAAGGAUCAUUCACCAUGCAUGUGAUAAUCCAUAUAGACAGGUUAUUCCAACAGAAUAAUAAAGAAUGGAACCAGGUCAUGCAUAAUCCGCACAGACAGGAUAUUCCAACAGAAUAAUAAAGAAUGGAAUAACAAAGAAUUCAGCGCCUUAAUAGGAAGUGAUAAGAUUAGUCUAUUUUAUGUGAAACCUAUCUGGUAGUUAAAGAUGUAAAUUCUGAUGUGUUUAUAAACAAAGGAAUAUUUUAAUGUUUUAAAUCCUGUAGAUUCUUUAUCUCGGGAUAGUUGAUGUAAAUAGCAGUGAUGUUAUCGUAUGAUGUUAAAACUUUUGCAUUGAAUAAAUGACAGAGUUUAUUUGAAUUGAUGUCUUAAGUGAAUUAUGAUUAAAUGUUUUAGUUAAGCCUUAAAUGUUUAAGGGAUUGAAUAAAGACCUAAUAAGCAUAUAUUCUUAACAGAAAUAUGCCGCCUAGAAGAAGACAAAACCGCCAACAAGCUCAAGGAGAAUCGAUGAAUAACAACAACGACGCCAAUGCUAACCCUGUUUAGCAAUUGGUGAAUCUAUUAGCCGGAGCAAUUAAUAAUCAACCACAAGCUCCACCAAACACAUCGUUUAAGGAUUUCAAGGCGGUGGGACCGCCAGAGUUUAAGAGUUCCAUAAACCCGAUCGAGGCUCAAACCUGGGUUAUGGAGAUGGAGAAGGUGUUUGAUGUCGCUAGAGUAAGAGAAGACCAGAAAACUGCAUACGCAACAUUCAUGCUGAAGUCUGAAGCCAGUUAUUGGUGGCAGGCAAAUAAAGUACGGGGAGGAGAAGGUGUAAUAACCUGGGGGAGAUUCAAGGAGAUAUUUUUCGAGAUGUAUUUUCUGACCAGUUCACAAAACCAAAUAGAAGUUCAGUUUCUGGAGUUGAAACAGGGGAGUACGUCUGUAGCAGAUUAUGCGGCAAGGUUCAACGAGUUGGCUAGGUUCGCCACAUACCAAGUGCAUACUGAUGAGAGGAAGGCAAGACGUUUUGAACAGGGACUGAAGCCCUGGUUGUAUAGCAAGGUGUCAAUGUUCCAAUUGAAUACUUUUGCUGGAGUGUUAGAGAAGGCCAUACUCGCUGAAGGUGGAAGUGAUGCGAUAACUAAAUAUAAUCAGGAUCAGAAGAAGAAAAAGAGUGAGAAUGAAGGAAUUAACAAGACUGGUGGGAGUAGCACGGGGGGUAGUCAUAAUCAGAAGAGAAAGUGGUCUAAUAACUUAUCAGCUGGAAGUCAACAAGGAGGGCAGAAGAAGAAGAUUGAAGCGUGCCAAACCUGUGGAAAAGCUCAUCUGGGAGUUUGCAUGAAGGGAAAACGAGUGUGCUACAAUUGUGGUCAGGAAGGCCACAUAGCACCUAACUGUCCUAACCCAAAGAAGGGUGCCUGCUUCACUUGUGGCUCAAAGGAUCAUCUUCUAAGGGAUUGUCCUAAGAAGGGAUCUAGAGGGACAGGAUCAGGAGGGAAUAGAGGAAACAGCGGUGGAAGCACUCUGACUAUCACAGGACCAACUGCAACCAACCGACCGACAGCCAGAACAUUCAACAUGACAAUGCAGGAUGCAGUGCAGUCUCGCGAUGUAGUGUUAGGUAUCAUUCCGAUCAAUAAAAUUAAUGCUUAUGUAUUAUUUGAUUCGGGUGCUACUUGAUCAUUUAUAUCCGAUGACUUUGGUAAGAACUUAGAAUUGCUUAAGGACGAGUUAGAAUACCCCAUGAACAUAGAAAUUGCGAAUAGAGAAAUAAUCCCUGUUAAGUACAUGCAUAAGAACUGUAGAGUGGAUAUUAAGGGUAAUAUCAUGAACGUAGAUCUUAUCCCUAUUCGACUUGGAGAAUUCAACGUUAUUUUGGGUAUGGACUGGUUAUCCAAUUAUGGGGCGGUAAUUGACUGCUAGAAGAAGCGUAUUAACCUUAUGACUCCGUCAAAGGUUGUGUUUUAUGGUAGCAAGUUGUCUAUACAAGCGAGUUAUCUGACGAUGAUGCAGGCCAGGAGGUUGUUAAGGCAAGGCUGUGUAGGAUAUCUAGCUUACAUAGUCGAUAGUUGUAAAGAGAAUCCAAAAAUAGAGGAGAUACCAGUAGUGAGAGAUUUCGCAGACGUAUUUCCGGAUGAUUUGCCAGGACUUCCUCCAGAUAGAGCAGUUGAAUUCGUGAUCGAUUUGGCUUUAGGAAUGGCUCCAAUAUCGAAGGCACCGUAUCGAAUGACACCGGUAGAGAUGAAAGAACUGAUGGUUCAACUACAAGAAUUACUGGACAAGAAGUAUAUCCAACCAAGCGUAUCACCGUGGAGAGCUCCAAUUUUAUUUGUGAAGAAGAAGGAUGGGACAAUGCGGCUCUGCAUCGACUAUAGAGAACUUAAUAAGGUCAUAAUUAAAAAUAGAUAUCCAUUAUUACUAAUCGACGAUCUGUUCUAUCAUGUAAAGGGAGCAAGAUAAUUUUCAAAGAUAGACUUGAGGAGUGGUUAUCAUCAAUUGAAGGUGAGACCAGAGGAUGUACCGAAGACAGCGUUCAGAACAUGAUACAGUCACUACGAAUUUUUGGUAAUGCCAUUUGGGCUAACGAAUGCUCCUGCAGCAUUUAUGGGCUUAAUAAAUGGAGUGUUCAAGCCAUUUUUGGACAAAUUCAUAGCGGUAUUUAUAGAUGAUAUUUUGGUAUAUUCAAAAACCAAGGAAGAACAUGAAGAGCAUUUGGGUGAUGUUAGAGACAUUGAGAAGAGAGAAGUUAUAUGCUAAGUUUUCGAAUUAUGAAUUCUGGAUUGAAAGAGUACAAUUUCUUGGACAUGUGAUCGAUAAGGAUGAAAUUUCAAUGGAUCCUUCCAAAGUCAAAGCAGUGAUUAACUGGGAUCAGCCGAAGACGCCGUCAGAAGUAAGAAGUUUUCUUGGAUUGGCAGGUUAUUACAGAAGAUUCAUUCAGGACUUUUCCAAGAUUGCGACUCCGUUGACAAAUUUGACUAGGAAAUCGGUGAAAUUUUCUUGGACGGAGAAGUGUGAGGAAAGAUUUCAAGAAUUAAAGAAGAGGUUGAGUUCAACACUUGUGUUAUCUCUUCCGGAUGACACAUGAAAUUUUGUGGUUUAUAGUGAUGCAUCACAUAAAGGACUUGGCUGUGUGCUUAUGCAAAAUGACAGAGUCAUUGUGUAUGCGUCACGAAAACUAAAAGAUUAUGAGAAGGGGUAUCUGACCCAUGACUUGGAGUUAGUUGCAGUGGUUUUUGCUUUGAAAAUCUGGAGGCACUAUCUCUAUGGGGAGAAGUGUGAAAUAUAUACAGGCCACAAGAGUCUGAAAUAUAUUUUUACACAGAAAGACUUGAACAUGCGCCAAAGAAGGUGGUUGGAGUUAAGUAAAGACUACGAUUGUGAGAUUCUAUACCAUCCGGGUAAGGCAAAUGUGGUUGCCGACGCCUUAAGUAGAAGGGGUCGGGAGAAACUGAUGAUCUUGACCGAUCAGGAGGAGUUAAUUUCAGCAAUAGAAAAGAUGGAAUUGGAAGUGAAGUAUCCUAUGGAGAUUGAUGAGAAGCUGUUUCAGAUGUAAUCUGGUACAACUCUACUAGACAAGAUUAAGGAGGCUCAACUUCAGGAUGACGAAUGUAAAACGGUGAAAAAGAAUAUAUCCGAAGGAACUGAAUCAAGAUUAAAGAUAAAUAAUGAAGGAAUACUGAGAUUUGAGAGUAGAAUUUGGGUAUCGCCAGUACCAGAGAUUAAGGAAAAAAUUUUGAGCGAGGCUCAUAACUCACGAUAUUCGAUUCACCCUGGUAUUACCAAGAUGUACAAAGAUCUUCGACAACAUUUCUGGUGGCCAAAUUUGAAACGAGAGGUUGCAGAAUGUGUUGCCAAGUGCCUGACAUGUCAGAAAGUGAAAGCAGAACAUCAGAGUCCGAGUGGGUUACUACACCCUUUAGAGAUUCCAGAAUAGAAAUGGGAACAUAUUACAAUGGAUUUCGCGGUUGGCCUACCAACAAGUCAGAAAGGCUACGACGCAGUAUGGGUUAUUGUUGACCGAUUGAUGAAAUCCGCACACUUCCUUUCGAUCAAAAUCAGAUUCUACUUAGAUCAUUUGGCAAGGUUAUAUGUGAAAGAGAUUGUUUCGAGACACGGAGUCCCGGUGUCAAUUGUCUCAUAUAGAGAUCCGCGCUUUACGUCCAACUUUUGGAAACGUCUACAGGAAUGCAUGGGUACAUAGUUGCGAAUGAGCACGACAUAUCACCCUCAGACAGAUGGACAGAGUGAAAGAACAAUUCAGUCAUUAGAAGACAUGUUAAGAGCUUGUAUAAUGGACUUUAAAGGAAAUUGGGAUGACCAUUUACCGCUCGUAGAGUUCGGAUACAACAACAGUUAUCAUGCUAGUAUUGGCAUGCCGCCUUAUGAAGCGUUAUACGACAGAAAGUGCAGAACUCCAUUAUACUGGGAUGAAGUUGGAGAAAGACAAUUACUAGGCCCGAAAUUGGUACAACAAAUAACAGAAAUUGUCAAAGUGAUCCGAACACGAUUGAUAGCAUCUCAAGAUAGACAGAAGAAAUACGUCGAUCCACACCGUAAGAAUGUUGAGUUUGAACCGGGUAGUUAUGUGUUCUUAAAGGUCUCUCCCUGGAAGGGAAAGAUCAGGUUCGGAAAGAAAGGGAAAUUAAGCCCAAGAUUUAUUGGACCCUUUGAAGUUCUACGAAGGGUCGAAGAGGUUGCAUAUGAGGUAGCCUUACCUCCAGCUCUAGAGAAUAUCAACAACAUUUUCCAUGUUUCAGUUCUACGACCCUACAAACUUGAUUACAAGCACGUGAUUGAAUAUGAACCCCUACAUUUUGACAAAGACUUAUCUUACGAAGAAAUUCAUGUUCAGAUUGUUGACCAAAAAGAGCAAGUUUUAAGAAAUAAAGUAAUACCUUCUGUUAAGGUAAUUUGGAGGAACCACAACGCUGAAGAAGCAACGUGGGAACUUGAAGAGAAUAUGAUGAAGAAUUAUCAUCAUCUAUUUACUUAGACUAGUAUAAGUGAUUCUGGGGGCAGAAUCUUUGUAAGGGGGGGNNNNNNNNNNNNNNNNNNNNNNNNNNNNNNNNNNNNNNNNNNNNNNNNNNNNNNNNNNNNNNNNNNNNNNNNNNNNNNNNNNNNNNNNNNNNNNNNNNNNUUAAUAAUUUGACAUAAUUAAUAAAUGAGAAAUUUAAUUAUGUGACUAUGUGAAUUAAUGAGAAAUUAUUAUAUAUUAUUUAAAAUAAAUUAAAUAAGAUAUUUGAUUUAUUUCAUAAAGGGGUGUGACACUAUUAAACUAUAAUAUAAGAGAUUUAUUAAAUUAAAUAGGAAUGAAUCUUUUAAAGCUAGCCAAACAUGGCCUUAGUGGGAGUUGAGGACAGUUAACCCAUGAUUGGGUAACUGAACACAACGCGUCAGUUCUUCAUUAUAUACGCUUUCCUUCUUUUAUUUUUUUAAGUCUUUUAUUUUCUAAGUCCGGCAAAGCAAAAACAGAGAGAGUUUUGAGAAUCAGUAAGAUUAAAGGAGAAGAAGUGUGAGAAAAUUGGGAGUUGGUAUCACCCUGUGUAAUCCAAGCAGAGUAAUCAAGGGUAAACUCUUCUUCCCCAAAUUUUAAAUUACGUUGUUUAAGUUUUGGCUUUCAAGUUCUGUUAAAUUCGUACAAUUGGAGAUAAUAAGGAUUAUAUGCAUAUAUGUGUUAAGAUAUUAUUAUAAUGUGUUUUCAUAUAUAUUGUAUGGUUCCAUAUCAUCAGUUUCAUAAUAUUAUACAGUUUAUGGUUACAGAGUAUAGAAUAUGUCCAUAUGGCCCUUAUACGUGAAUUUAAUAUGUCAAACAUAAAUUGUUUUGUAAAAUUCCCACUUGUAUAUAAUUAUGCAUGCUAAAAUGAAGAAAACAAAACUUGAAUGGAUGGAUUUGGUGUUAUAAAGAAUCCGUAGUGUUAAUUUUCAUGUUUUAUGUUCAAAACCUUCAAGAACAUCAAGAAUAGUGAAAUUUGCAUGUUUUAAUUCUGUAAUUAUGAGUUUUAAUUGGUUAAAAUCACUCUAUAAAGGUUGGGUAAUGAUUAUGUACGAAUUCUAGUAUGUGGGUAUGUUUAAUUUGAUGAAUUUAAUGAUCAUGUAAUGAUAAUUUUGUCUGAUUUUGUGUUUUUUGCGAACUGGAAAUUCAUAAACUGGAGUUUCGCGCCGCGACGCCAACUCCAUGCUUAAUUCCCGCGCCGCAGCGCCAUGUCCCAAGCUGCAACGCCACGGCGCCGCAGCGCCAAGAACCAGUAUAACAGUGGCCCCACAGCGCCACUUAGCAGACUGGUCCAGAAAUGAAUUUUUUAAAAUGCUCAAGUCUAGCAAUGUGUUAGUAACUUAACCUAAUGAACAUAAAAAUAUGUUAGACAUAUAAUGAGGUGUUAAAAUAAAUUCUUAACAUGUCAAUAACACAUUUAUGUGUGAAUUGAAUUAUUGAACACAUAGUUAGCUUAUUGUUCAUAAAGUGUAAAUUGUGUGUCAAUGAAUGUAGUAAUUUGACUAAGUAUGGUCAUAAUCAAAGUUAGACAAAGAGAAUGAACUUGUGAUGACUAGUACGUUAUAAUUGACUGGUAUUGUGAACGUAAAUGAUAUGUAGGAUUUAAAUCAAGGAACAAGUAUAAUUAACGCGUAAUCUACGCACGAGGCAAGUUUCCUAACCCUACUCGUUAUCUUUAUAUGAGCUUAUAAGUUGUCUCUUUACAUCGAGCAAAUUCUCGUUAUUAUUGAUCAAGUACAUUUUAUUAUAUUACAAUGUAUUAAUCUUUCAAAGUAUGAUUCUGUUAUACAAUAAUUAUUCUAUUGUAUACCUUUUGAGAUUGCUAUUCAAUUUUAAAUUAUCAGUUACUGUUGAACUUUGUUAGACUAGUGAACUUUUAAUGAUUCGACUAGUCCAUAGUUGAUGAGCGUUCUAAAUUUUAGAACCCUUGAUGAAUUAUCCAAACCAAACUUCCUUUGGUGCGGACUCUAAUGUCAAACUGAGAUGAACAACCCUGUAUAGGGGAUUACUUAUGCGUUAGUGUUAAAAUAUUGUUCACAGUAUGGUACUAAGGGCUGAUCCCCCUAAGUACGAGAAGAAGAGUCCAUAUUCUUAUGACUGUUAAGGUUUCAAGUAUAAACACUUGACAACCUAGGACAUAGUUCAAGGUCUUAUGACCCUCAGAAGUUCUUUUGUCUCUUGCUAUUUAUUCUUGAUUCAAAAGUUGAGUUUCCUAUUUCAGAAGUCUUUGAUUUAUUUGCAUGUUAUUAUUCAUUUGUUAUAUUGUUAUACUUGUGGGGAAUCGUGCUCACUCUUGCGUAAUAAUAACAUUGCAGUUAAGAACGAAAGAUCUGACGAGCCUUCCACUAGUCGCAAGGGCAAGGUUAACAUAUGAAGAAGACUUGUUGUUAUUAUGUAUUUAUGUUCAGACUUGAUGUUGUUUAAGACUUGUUAUUUGUUUAUGAUUCCGCACAGAUGUUUAAGGUUAGAGUGACCUAGGAUUGUAUUUUAUGCGGAUGAUGUAACCCCAUAAGGGGAGAUUUAUUUAUUUAAUUCUAUUUAUUGCAUGGUCUAAUUUUAUUUAUGGGUAGAUAAAUAGAUGAUAUUUGUACAGUGAACAUCAAAUUCUGCGAAAAUGGAAGUACCCGGAUUUGGGGGUGUCACACCAGUACCCAGUUUCUUUCUAAGGUAAGGAGUAUUAUUUCUUUCAUAUUCAUGAAGAGAGCUUCUGUUAUUCCAUUCUAUAUUAUUAUGUUGGAAUAACCUGUCUAUGCGAAGUACCGCAUACAUGGUGAAAUUNNNNNNNNNNNNNNNNNNNNNNNNNNNNNNNNNNNNNNNNNNNNNNNNNNNNNNNNNNNNNNNNNNNNNNNNNNNNNNNNNNNNNNNNNNNNNNNNNNNNUGUUCAUCUUUGCACUACGGGCCAAAAAUAUUCAUCAGAAAUCAUUCAUCUUUGCACUACAGGCCAAAUAUAUUCAGUAAUAUCAUCAUUUAGGACUGAGGAUGAUGAAAAACAUUUUAAAGGAAACGAAUCCAGUGAAACAAAAUAACAAUUAUUAAGGAUUCGUAUUUUGGUUUAUCCAUGUCCAAAAAUACCUCAUAAAUAAUCAUAGUGGAGUAAAAUUCAAGAAUGAUCAAAACAUGGAUACAAUCAAAAUUAGUAUCCAUAAUACAUAUUUUGGAGGAAAAACAAAAUUUUAAUUUUUCUAUGAAUAGUGUCGUAUACGUGAAUAGUGAUGUAUACGUGAAUAGUAACCCCGACACUAAAAGACAAGAAUUUCACAAGAAAAAUCUUACCAAUAUUCCGGCAUAAUGAUAUUGAAAGAAAUAAUAUCAUUUUUUAAAAAAAAUAAUAUCCCUUACCUUGAAAUAAUAGUACUUCUGACUGGAAUACUAAAUAUAGUGCUGAAGGAAACUUGCACCGUAUAACAACACUCAAAGUAUCAAAAUACUCACAAGAGUACGUUCGAUAAUAUAGAGAGAGAAAAAGAGAGAAAACUUGUGUUUCUGGUGUGAUUUUCAAUUCUAACCUAAACACCCUAUUUAUAGAAAAAUGCUUAGAACACCAAAGCAGAAAAUUUAAUAUAAUAAUAAUAUAAAUUUACCAAAUCUUCCUACGCACACCACCUGCUGAAUUCAACCACUAACACAUGUCCCACAAAUGAAAAAAACGUUUUUCUUAAUUAAAAUAUUUUAAACUUCAAAAAUUAAUUAUUUUGGAACUUCAGAACUUCAAUAAUUCAUAAUAAAUAGCCUUUUUAUCAGAAAAAUUCAAACCUCGUGUCCUUUGCAUAGGAAAUUCCAUUCUCUACAACUUUAUAGAAGAAAGUUUUUCCAAAUUCCAAACAGAAAUUGACCGAAAUCCACAAACGGGCGAUUUUACAGGCUAUAAUCAAAUUUCAGUCAAAAAAUGGGGUCCACCGACACACAAAACAUGUGUUAAUCAUUUAAUGCAACAAAAAUACUCUUUCUCCUCAUAUACUCAUAUAUCCCACAUUCAUUGUAAAAAAAAAUAUCACCAUUAUUAUAUUAUUAAAUAUAAUAAUAUAUUUAAAUGAAUUACUUUAUCAGAAAAAGAUAAAAUAUUAAUUUUCAACAAUUGUCACAUUAAAAAUUUUCUCCAUCUAUAUCCACAUAAAAUCAAUAUUUUCCUCAUCAUAUAAAUCAAUAAUUAAUUAUUCAUAAAUGAAUAUUUUAUAACCACUUGCUUAUUUAAAAUAUUUGCGCAUUUUACCCAUAACUAACCACAUUAAUCAAUUCAACCCUUACUAUUUCAAAAUAAUAAAUAGAGAAAUUCAAUUUCAUUUAUAAUAAGUUGGGGUCUUACAGCCAUCGUAUAUAAAGCUCUCCCCUAUUUGCAUCCAACCCUUACAUGAUAUAGAAGAAAGUAAUAAGAAGAUGGUUAAGGAGAUAGAAGAAUUAAACCUAGAUUAUAUAAUCGGAUAUGGAUUUUCUACAUUUUUCAACUGCACUUCCCAAACCCUAGAUACAUACAUAGAUGCAGAUGGGGAUGGAGUUCUUGCCAUUUAUAGGCCUAACAAAUAAUGGUUUUGACCAAAUUAUUUCCACAGUCUUUCUAUCCUAAUUUCUUACUCCAUUUUAGAUGAUAUAUUUCCAUGUUUUUACAACAACAAAAAAAUACUUAUUUUUGUAUUAUAAGAUCUUAAAAUACAAAAACCUGAUUAUCGAAUUUUAUUAAUUAUAAUAUCCAUUCAUCAACUAGUUUCAAUCUGCUGAAUACCAACGUUCAUAUGGUUCUUUCAAUGUGCAUUUGUAAGCAUAGGCACCCCAUGCUAAGCUUUUUUCAUUACCAACACUAAAGUAUAAUUACAAAAUAUGAAACCAUGAAUCAAAAGUCACUCUUUUCAAAAAAUACUUGUUGUUAACAAGGACAUAAAGAAUCGAAAGAUAAUAAUAAGCAAACGAAAGAAAUGUAAUGGCGUUUAUAGGCGAAAGGAAAUUUCGCAAAGCACCAAACAUCACAAUCAAAUACAAACCAACUUUCAAGCACGAAAUCCAUACUAUGAUACCAUCUUAAAAUUUAAUGUAUAGGGCUAAGGAAUGACAAGGCACCCUACAGAGUACUUGCAAGUUUUUCAGCCAUCGUAUAUAAAGCUCUCCUCUAUUUGCAUCCAGCCCUUGCAUAAUAUAGAAGAAAGUAAUAAAAAGAUGGUUAAGGAGAUAGAAGAACUAAACCUAGAUUAUAUAAACGGAUAUGGCAUUUCUAUGUUUUUUCGGCUGCGCUUCCCAAACCCUAGAUACAUACACACAUAGAUCAUUUUUAAGAUCUUUAAAUACAAAAACCUGAUUAUCAAAUUUUAUUGAUUAUAAUAUACAUUCAUCAUCUAAUUUCAAUCUGCUGAAUACCAACGGCCAUAUGGUUCUUUCAAUGUGCAUUUGUAAGCAUAGGCACCCCAUGCUAAGUUUUUUUCAUUGCCAACACUAAAGUAUAAUUACAAAAUAUGAAACCAUGAAUCAAAAAUCACUCUUUUCAAAAAAUACUUGUUGUAAACAAGGACAUAAAGAAUCGAAAGAUAAUAAUAAGCAAACGAAAGAAAUAUAAUGGCAUUUGGGGGCGAAUUUGUGAAGAAUUGAAAGGGGAUUGUAGGCGAAAGGAAAUUUGGCAAAGCGUCGAACAUCACAAUCCAAUACAAACCAACUUUCAAGCACGAAAUCCGUACUAUGAUACCAUCUUAAAAUUUAAUGUGUAGGACUAAGGAGUGACAAGGCACCCUACAGAGUACUUGCAGGUUUUUCAGAUCCAUCGUAUAUAAAGUUCUCCCCUAUUUGCAUACAGCCCUUACAUAAUAUAGAAGAAAAUAAUAAGAAGAUGGUUAAGCAUAUAGAAUAACUAAACCUAGAUUAUAUAUUUGGAUAUGACUUUUCUACCUUUUUUUAGCUGCACUUCCCAAACCCUAGAUACAUACAUAGAUGCAUAUGGAGAUGGAGUUCUUGCUAUUUAUAUGCCCAGCCAACAAUGGUUUUGACCAAAUUAUUUCCACUGUCUUUCUAUCCUAAUUUUUUACUCCAUUUUAGAUAAUACUAGAUACAAACUCGCUCGUUGCGGCGAGAUUAUUCAAUUUUUUAAUAAUAAAUAUGUACGCAUAAUUAAUAAAUUAUAAUAUAAUAAAAAGAUGGUAGAUUGUUGUGCGAUGAUCAAAUUUUACACAGAAAAACAAAUGAAUAUACAUUGUAUGGGGUAGUGGUGAGAGUUUACCGGUUUGUGCAUUACACUCUAAGUAUGUGACUAUUGCUUUUAAGCUAGUGACAAAGUAAGUGACCUCAACUUGUCGACAAAUCAUUUUUUCUACUUCCAUUUUUCUAUUUUUAUUUCAAUUUUUCUUGACCAAAGUGUAGUCAACUGAUUUAUUUUCUCCGUCCUUUACUACUUUUGUAUUUUGUUUACUGCAAAGAAAAAGUUGCCUCAACUUAACUUUUUACAAUCCAUAUCAUAAAGAGAAUAAAAGAGUAUACGAAGGUUUAAAAAAUCUUUUAAAAAUACAAUUUUUUGUAUGUAUUUCAGAAAAAAAAAUUAAAAAAAACAAUCCCAAUACAAUAGAUUGGUAAAGAAAAUAAGUAUUGUUCUCUUAGUUUUCCAUUUUAUUUAUUUUUCUCAUACUCUAAAUAGUCAAUACCUGUCAAAACAUUAAGUAAUAUUGGAACUUUAUCAUCAUUUCACUGCAAGCAUUUAAAAGGAAAUAAUUAGGCAAAAGCAUGUAAUGACGCCAAGAAAGAAAAAUGUGACAAUAAAACUCUUACCAAAGUAACUAAUAUCCAUUAUCAAUAAGAUAAUCACCAAGGUUUUCAACAACAAUGUUGCAAUGCCCUGGAGUCAUUGGCUCAUCGUAGAUACCAAAAAUCAAGGCAUUGGUGGUAUUAUUAACAGUGAUACCUACAGGACUUUGAAACCAAAGUUUAAAAAGGGUUAAAGGCAACCGUUAAGAGGGUCACCUUUUGAAUGACAUGACAUAGCAACUACUCACGGUCCACUCUUCCUUCCUUUUAUGCUUUUUCAAGAACUACUCAGGAACCACAACAACUCCCUUCAAUUCCAUUUCACCCAUUUUCUACAUAGCAUAGACAAAAAUUAAAUGCUACUAUGAACAUUUGAAACACAAAGAUUAAAGAAAGGGUGAUUCUUUUUUAGCACUGUUCACACGAAUUGUUUAUUAACAAAUGUUCCUACGUACACGUACAUAUUAUACCUACGACUUAGCUUCAUUCACUUUACUAAUCCAGAAACACGUACAUAUUCACGUCAAGGGGGGGGNNNNNNNNNNNNNNNNNNNNNNNNNNNNNNNNNNNNNNNNNNNNNNNNNNNNNNNNNNNNNNNNNNNNNNNNNNNNNNNNNNNNNNNNNNNNNNNNNNNNACGAAACUAUGAGUAAAAGCUCACAAAGGAAAUGGAUUUGAAGCAUCUUAAGCAGUCAUGGUAAUAUCAUCCUUCACAACAUAUAAGUCAUAUACAAAGUCAUCUUUAGAUGCUGCGAUUACAAUAACCAAAACAAAAACAUGAAUAAAAUUAGUGAUAGGCUGUCUUAAGACCAAGAAAAGGGUGGCGAUAGGUCAUAUAUAUUAUAAAAUGAUGCAAAUUCCCAUAUGUGUAAUUAUAGCCCACUCCUUGAAAAGGAAAACAUAAAAACUAUACAUUUUAAGUUUUUAAUCAAUGUAGUUUUUUUAUCGCCCAGCAGGUUGUUUCACGUGGUUACACCAAGCUAAAACAAAUUAUUAGUGAAAGAUUGCUAGACAUAGAAAAUGUGUAUUUAAGAAUAGCAAUUUUUGAUGAUCCCAGACACAGAACAAAAAAAGAAAUGAAAUGAAAUGAAACAUUAUACAGGGAUAUACCUCCUUUGGACAUGUAAUCGUCAAUUUAAGAUUUUAUUUUUGAAGUAGCACUUGGAAUGAACUCUCUUAACAAGGGCAGAAAAGAUGACAUAAUCCUAUGAUCCUCCAAUUAUGAGUCUCUGCAAAAAAUUAUUAAAAAUUGGAUCAUUAUCAGUAAGAAGUUUUAAGUAAAAGUAAUAAUUUAGAUUAUAUCAUUACAUGUACUUACUCCUGCUCUUUCACCUCAUUAGUUAUUUUCACAACAUCAACACGAACAACAUCGUAGAGAUGACACAUCUCUAAACAACUAAUCAAAGUCCGCUCCCUAAAGAAAAAUCUCACAAAAAUCCACAAAAGAGACAAUAAUGUAUACCUUCUUCAAUGAAAAUAUAUGACUAAAAAGGACAAAUAUACAAAAUUGGUUCUGUUUAGAUGUCCCUACCUAGUACCUAGCUAUAUAUUUAACAUCAUUACUCAAGCUAUCAGAGCCAUUUAAAAAUAUCAUAAAGUUCUAUUAGGGAAAAAAAACUAAUAGUAUGUUAAUGUUACAACGUAUUAACGUUUACAUUAAACAAAUCAAAACAUAGGAUCUUGAAAUCAAUUGAUUCAAGCCAAACAGACAUACCAGUACAGACGUGGAGCACUCUGCAGAAGGAUUUCACCCCCAGAGACUACCCAAUAGAAGCCGACCAUCCACCAGAUAAAUGAUACCAUUGUAUUCACAUAUUCACAUUUCUUAGCAAAACUGAAAUGUCCACAAAGUCGGAAUCAGUAGAAAAAAAAUAGUUUUGCACCACAUCCAAACUUAGCACACACUUACUGCAUCCUCAGGUAUAACAAUACGUUCACUAGCUAAGUUCCCACUGCUUAUUGCAAUGGGAACCAUUCUACCAGCUCCAAUUGUAGGCUUAUCUUCAUCAGUACAGAUUUGAAAUCUAUACUUUGGAAGGAUACUGAUAUGAGCAUCUGAUGCACCUUCCUAUAUAUUCACAUAAGAAUUAACGUCAGAAAAUACUGAAACAGCGCACAAUAAACUCAAGAUCAUCAUAUCUUACCUGCCCGAAAAUAACAUAAAGAAUUGCAACGAUGCACGGAAAGCAGCAACAAAGAGCAAUCCAAAUCAAAGAAGCCAAAACAACAUAAAAGAUGGCAAAGAACACAUCGAAUGCUAGAAAUACCACUAUCAACCUGCAGAAAUUUAACAUAAGUGUUUUUGUCAAUAAUUAACAGUUGUUUGCAUUCAUUUUAAAAUAUAUUAAUUUAACUACAACAAGAAAGGGCACAAGAGUGUGAAUAUAGAUAGGCAUAAUUUACAGAUUUACUGAAGUGAAAAGGAUAUUAAACUUGCCUUUUGCUUCUUUAAAAACGGAUUGCUUAUUAUUACAAUGGACUUAUUGCUUAUUAUUACGCCUAGAGAGUAUAGGUCUUAUUUUGUCCCCAACAUUCCAGUUUGUUGGUACUCUGGGUCAAUGUAAUAAAAUGUUCCAGCUGCGGCUGCCAUGUGAUAUUGGGUAACGCUGUCAGCCACAGAUGGUGGAACCAUCCUGGCCAAGCCAACAUCUCUUAUCUUGCUUAUAUAGUUUCCACUUAAGAGAAUGUUGGCAGGUUUUAGGUCACAAUGCACCAGUGGCUCUGGCUUUGACUGGUGAAGGAAAUGAAGGGCAGUGCCAAUUUCGGCAGCUAUUUUGAAAUAGGUUUUCCAAGAGAGUGGGGGAGUGUUGUUUUUUUCAAAAUAGACGAUAUUUUAAGCUGCCAUUUUCCAUGUAGUCAUAUACAAGGCAGACGUACUCAGGGCAGUCACCUAAAAGGAGAACCAUGUGAGGAUGUCUCAUGCAGCUUAAUACGUCGAUCUGCAUUAGAAAAGAGAACAUUAGAUGGGAAUUUAGAAAUACAAAAUUGAUAUCCUUUUUUAUUCGUGCAACCAUCACAUGUGCUCGUAAGUUCCAUUAUAUAUAUUCGGUUGUGGACAUGAGCAUUGACUUUGUUCUUUCUUCUCAAUAUUCACUUAGUUUGCUAUAUAAAUCAAGGCACAAGAAUCUGUUGCACUGGGAAGCUAGAUCCUAUAGUGGUCGUGAAGGUUUGCUACUGAGGUGUAAGGUGGAUAGAUCAACUAAUUUUGGAACUUUGGGUUUUUUGACAAAUAAAAUUUGAAUGCCAUGAAAACUAAGCUGGCUUUACCCCCAAUACUGAAAGUAAGUGAUGGUCAGUGAAUAGUGUGUUCAACACCAAGUCAAAGUGAGUUUGAUGGGGUUAUUCUCUGUGAUCAUCUUGAUGGAUCUUUACUAUCGCAAUGAAAACUACAUAGACUUCAGGUCAUAAGGAUUGGUUACACUUUUAGCUUUUCCAAUUACACCAUGAAGAAAUUAUUAUCUUUCGAAAAUAAUACUGAUAAUUAACAACUGCUAAAGCCAGAGGAUCUGGUAUCUUGGAUAGAUGAUGGUGAUAUUUGGUUGUGAAGUUUAAAGUAACAGCAGACAUUGUUCAUUUGUGAUAUGGCUGAAUUAUCUAGACAUACAAUUUUUCCUCAAGUCUAAUACACAAUACAACCUUUAUAACUAAUGACAGAGUCAUCGAUUUAUAUGAAGAGAGAGUCAUCUUAAUUUAACUGGAACUUGGAUUUUUCUAUCAAGUACAUGAUCAAGUUCUAAUGUGGUGCUAACAAGAUAUUAAAAACAAAGAAAGAAAUAGAUCGAAGCCAAUUUUAAAUCUGAACAAUAUUUUAAUAUGGAGUAUUUGCUUAUUGUGGGAGUAGCCUCAUUAAUUGGUGAACCCCCAACCAUGCUCAAUGAUAACAGUAGGCUCAAUGAACUUUAAAUCCAUUCUAUUUGCUCUACUACGCUUAUUAGAAACAACUGAGGCCCAAUUUCCAUUUAAAUUUAGUUUCAUAUCAUAAGAUUAUUCUUUUAAAAAAAAUAUUAGAUAUAGAUAUAUAAUAAAUAAGAGAAGAAAAAGGAAAUUUCAUGUUGUCAAGAAAACAAAAGUAAUUACUUCAAUGCACUUCAAUUCCUCUUACAUUGGCAGAAGGGGUCACUCUAAAGAUCUUAACAACAUAAUUCAUGUGUUUCUUUCACCGUUUCUUUGUCAAAAGUACAAGAUCAAAUGGGCCGCCAAAACAUAUUUUAUAAUCAGUAAAGUAAAGUACAAUCCAAGGUGUGGGAAAAGACGCAGAUAUUCCCAGCAGCCUAGUGCUAUCUAGCAGACGAAUUUGUAAGUUCAGGAAAAUCAGCCAUAAAUUCCUCAUUAAAAUAUGUUUUCAUACCCUCAUUUUCCAAUUUAUCCAAAUAAUUUCACAAAUCAUGAUACAAUCAAAAUAAAAAUAAGUCUUACAGAUCGAAUGCUCUGAUUCUUCUUCGUCGUGGUCUGCUUCUUCUUUAGGUCUGAUUCAGAUUCUUCUUUGUCGUGACCUGCUUCUUCUUCGCCGUGGUGUGCUUACAGAUCGAAUCUUUGCCGUGGUGUGCUUUUUCUUUGGGUCUGAUUCAAGAUGUUCAGCCUUUGGGUAUGAUUGUUCUUCGUCGUGGCAUGCUUCUUCUUCGCUGUCUCUAGGGAAUUUGAACGAAUUAGGAUGUUCAUCCUUUGGACUGCUUAUUCUUCGCCGUUUGAACGAAUUUUAAACAUAAAGUUACUUGUCAUUGAAUUUUAGUUGCCAUUUUUGAAUUUUGAAUAUAUUAUCCCAGAUUUAGUGGGAUUUGAGAAAUGAAUUUAGUUUUUUUUAGUGUUUCAUAUGUUUUUGUAAAAGGUAGUUAAGACUAAAAUAAAGUAAUCAAUAUAUGACUACCAUCACUAUUUUAGCUACUAAACUUCCUUACACUCGAGUGUGUGUACAUAUCGAAUUGUUUCAUAUUGCUCUGAUAAUUAAAUAAAAUAUCAUUUGGAAUCAGAAUACUUUAAUAAUACACCCCGAGUCUAGACCACUGGUUUGUUCAAUAUAGUAACCAUUUCUAUGUAAAAACAACUUUCCAACCUUCCUAACCAUUUUCCAGAUUAGUGUAUAUGUAAAACCACAUGAAUCAAGAUACCAUCUUGAUUCCCAUUAUAGGAUGUGAUACUUUCAGUCACAAAACCAGGACAAAGUCAAAUUGUUGGAACCAGAAAACCUCAAAAGGAAAAGUAUAUGGAAAACUCCAAUUGAGAUCAUCUGAUGUUAAAACCCAAAUUGCACGUAUACAUGCACUUUCAUUCCUUCUCUUCACUCUCAUUUCGACUGUUACUCUCGAAUUUUGAAUGUAAGCAUUCUUCGAUCAAGAUCAAAGACGAUCCACCAUUAGCAUUGUGUGAUCUUGAGCACAAAUAAGUAAAUUAUCCUAGGACUGAUAUUGGACUAAAGUUAUAAAACGUAAAAAUAAAUAAAUAGCUUGGAGCUUCUUAAACAAUGACUCGGCAUUUAUUAACGUGGCAUUGUAGUGGGUGAAUCCUUCUACCGUUAAUUACAGAACACAUGCUUAUGAAACAGACUAUGGAAAUGUAUUUAAGGGUGUAAAAAUGAUAGAACAAUAAUGGAAUUUAAUCUUGUUUAUAACCAAAAAUUUCUGGUACCACCUUACUAUAUCGUAAUUAAAAAAAAUUGAUUCCAAAUAUUGAGCAACACAAAAUCGAAAGCCCACUGCCUACAUACUGAAUACUGAUGCAGAUGUUUCCUUAGCUGGAGCACAUGACUAUUAGCAAAAAGAAGAAAAAAUAAAUUUGACCAACCUCAUGCACUUUAAGGAGUUCCAGAAUUGCCAACACUAUGUCAUUCACAUAGCAGAAACCAGAAGCCUCACAUUUCUUUGCAUGAUGAAGUCCACCAGCCCAGUUUAUAGCAAUAUCACAAGAUCCAUGGUUUAAUUUCAGUGCGCCACCAACUGAGCCCCCAGCAUAAGUCUAACAGAAAGAAUAGAGACCAUCAAACACAGGGCAUUAUUCACCAACAUUAAAGUCUACCCUUCCUUCAGCAAAUUUGUCCUGCUUUAGAACUUCCAUGCUAGGUACUAUAUAUCCUUUUGGUAGAACACCAAGCAAGUAGCCAACUAAAAAGUGACCUGCUUCAUAUUGUAGAAUAUUAACUUCAGUUCUUACACAGUUAAAUUAUAUUAUGAUGAAGGACUUUAUGAUGCAAAGAAUGCUGAACUCAGUACCAGUGGAAGCACCAUCACAAAAUAUAACCAAAGAGAAAGUUGAAUCUCCAAAACUCAGAAACAAAUAACUCUUCAAACUAAUAACCAACCUAUACUUAAAUAAAGAAUCUCUUCCCCCAUUGGAUAUAUUUAAAUACGAACCGGAUAAAUAAGAUGGUCAUUGAAUGGGAAUUUUAAAAGUUUCAAUCUUUUGAAAAAUACCUCCAAAAAAUUUGGUUUGUUGACGUCCAAAUGAUCUUGAAUUUAAGUUUAACCGAAAAAAAAGGUGAAGUCAAUGAGAAACACAAAAUAUGAAAUCAUGACCACAAAUUAAAAGGUUAUAUAUCAUUUAUAAGUUUAAAAGAGAUAUUUCUUCCGAUCGAAAAUCAACCAGAGUUAAGAAAUAAAAAUUGUCCUCAAUUAGCCACAGUUAUCCACAAUUUUUUCAUAACUAUCCAGAUUGAUUUCUAAGACAACGAAGAAAAGAAAUUAAAAAAUUCACAUAAACUGAGAUCCGAAGAAGAUGAACGUUGAACAACAAAAUCGAAGAAACCAUGAAAUCAGCAAACAAAGCCCUAGAUAACGAUCUCGACCAGUAAUGAUCACAAACACGCACUCAAUUUCAAAAUGAAAACUUACUUGAAAAUCAUUUCUCAAUCCGAACAACAGCUCUUCAGCAGUAUAAAAUCGCUACUUUUGCUCGUCGUGGUUCCUGGGGUUUGUUCAUAAUUUGGGGCUGACGAAUUUGAACCAACACGGAAUGAAUUUUUUAGUUUCUACAUUUGAACCAACACAGAAUGAUAUAGCAAACAAAGCCCUAUAUCACGAUCUCGAUCACGCACUCAAUUUCAAAAGGAAAACUUACUUGAAAAUCGGUACUCAAUCCGAACAACAGCUCUUCAACUAAUAAAAUCUCUAGAGGAUUGUUGUUUCAUCACAAAUCGAUACUUUUUGCUCGCCGUGGUAUACUUCUUCGGAUUCAUCAUUUGGGGCUAAUUAUUCUUCGUCAUUUGAACGAAUUUGAACGCCAAAAUUGAAAAUAGGAUAGGAUUCCAGUUGUUAUUCGAACGAAUUUGAACGCCAAAGUUGAAGAUAGGAUUCCAGAUGUUAUUUUAUAGGGGCACUGUUGUGAAGGGUAUUUUGGAAAAGGAUAUUUAGGAGCAUUAAUAAGGAUGGACAUGUGUUGAGUUUUUAGGAUGACAUAUGUCAAUCUAUUGUGUCAUGUACUGCGAUUUAGUAUACAUAGAUAUUCCAAUGUUUUUGCAACAAAAAAAUACUUAUUUUUGUAAUUUAAGAUCUUAAAAUACAAAAACCUGAUUACCGAAUUUUAUUGAUUAUAAUAUCCAUUAAUCAACUAGUUUCAAUAUGUUGAAUACCAACGGCCAUAUGAUUCUUUCAAUGUGCAUUUGUAAGCAUAGGCACCCCAUGCUAAGCUUUUUUCAUUGCCAACACUAAAGUAUAAUUACAAAAUAUGAAACCAUGAAUCAAAAAUCACUCUUUUUAAAAAAUACUUUUUGUAAACAAUGACAUAAAGAAUCGAAAGAUAAUAAUAAGCAAACGAAAGAAAUGUAAUGGCAUUUGAAGGCAGUUUGUGACGAAUUGAAAGGGGAUUGUAGGCGAAAGGAAAUUUGGCAAAGCGUCGAGCAUCACAAUCAGAUACAAACCAACUUUCAAGCACGAAAUCCGUAAUAUGAUACCAUCUUAAAAUUUAAUGUAUAGGGAUAAGGAAUGACAAGGCACCUUACAGAUUACCUGCAGGUUUUUCAGAGCCAUCGUAUAUAAAGCUCUCCCCUAUUUGCAUCCAGCCCUAACAUGAUAUAGAAGAAAGUAAUAAGAAGAUGGUUAAGGAGAUAGAAGAACUAAACAUAGAUUAUAUAAUCAGAUAUGGCUUUUCUACGUUUUUUCAGCUUCAUUUCUCAAACCCUAGAUACAUACAUAGAUGAAGAUGGAGUUCAUGCCAUUUAUAGGCCCAACAAACAAUGGUUUUGACCAAAUCAUUUCCACCGUCUUUCUAUCCUAAUUUCUUACUCCAUUUUAGAUAAUAUAUUCCCCUGUUAUUGCAACAACAAAAAAAAACACUUAUUUUUGUAUUUUAAGAUCUUAAAAUACAGAAACCUGAUUACCGAAUUUUAUUGAUUAUAAUAUCCAUUCAACAACUAGUUUCAAUCUGUUGAAUACCAACGGCCAUAUGGUUCUUUCAAUGUGCAUUUGUAAGCAUAGGCACCCCAUGCUAAGCUUUUUUCAUUACCAACACUAAAGUAUAAUUAUAAAAUAUGAAACCAUGAAUCAAAAAUCACUCUUUUCAAAAAAUACUUGUUGUAAACAAGGACAUAAAGAAUCGAAAGAUUAUAACCAAACGAAAGAAAUGUAAUUGCGUUUGGAGGCGAAUUUGUGACGAAUUGAAAGGGGAUUGUAGGCGAAAGGAAAUUUGGCAAAGUGCCAAACAUCACAAUCAAAUACAAACCAACUUUCAAGCAUGAAAUCUGUACUAUGCUACCAUCUUAAAAUUUAAUGUAUAGGGCUAAAGGAAUGACAAGGCACCCUACAAAGUACCUGCAAGUUUUUCAGAGCCAUCGUAUAUAAAGCUCUCCUCUAUUUGCAUCCAGCCCUUACAUGGUAUAGAAGAAAGUAAUAAGAAAAUGGUUAAGAAGAUAGAAGAACUAAACCUAGAUUAUAUAAUCGAAUAUGGCUUUUCUACGUUUUUUCGGCUGCGCUUCCCAAACCCUAGAUACAUUCAUAAAUGCAGAUGGAGAUGGAGUUCUUUCCAUUUAUAGGCCUAGCAAACAAUUGUUUUGACCAAAUUAUUUCCACCAUCUUUCUAUCCUAAUUUCUUAUUCCAUUUUAGAUGAUAUACUAGAUACAAACUCGCGCGUUGCGGCGGGAUUAUUCAAUUUUUUAAUAAUAAAUGUGUACAUACAAUUAAUAAAUUAAAAUAUACUAAAAAGAGUAAAUUAUUGUGUGAUGAUCAAAUUUUACACAGAAAAACAAAUAAAUAUACAUUGUAGGGGGUAGUGGUGAGAGUUUACCUGUCUGUGCAUUACACUAUAAGUAUGUGACUAUUAUUUUUAGGCUAGUGGCAAAGUAAGUGACCUCAACUUGUGGACAAAUCAUUUUUUCUACUCUUCCCUUUUAUUAUUUUUUUUAGUUUUUCUUGACCAAAGUGUAGCCAACUGAUUUAUUUUCCACGUCCUUAACUAAAUUUGUAAUUUGUUUACUGUAAAAAAAGGGUUACCUCAACCUAACUUUUUAUAAUCCAUAACAAAAAGAGAAUAAAAGGGUAUGCCAAGGUUUAAAAAAUCUCUUAACAAUACAAUUAGAAAGCCAAUGUUCAAACUAUUUAGCCCAAGCGUAUAGCAAAAUAUCUGGGCAAACUACAAGCUUAGAACCUUCAUUCAAGAAACAGCCUUCAAUUGCAAUGGCUUGAAAACAAAGUCAUUGUUCAAAUUAGCAGUGUCACAUUGUGAGGUGAUUUUGAGUAAUGUGUGUAUGAAACGCAGUACAUGGCACAAUAGCUUGAAAAUAUCUACCUCUAACCAUUCCCUUGUAAAUAAUGCAGUAAACAUCAAGCUCAUAACUAUUCAAAAUGUCAAAAAAACUAACUAUCUAAUAGUUGGCCUAAUGUAAGCAUGUGAAAUGAACUUUUAGUGGUUUCCUUUCCUUGGUUAGCUGCACAGAAACUUGCAAAUAACAAUAAGCUUGCUCCUAACAUGAAUAAAGCAUAACACAACAUAUUAGGUGACAAUGUAGCUACUACUUUUAGCAACAGAUGUCCAAAUAUUAGCAUAGUCUAAAUACCUAUGCUACUUAAUAAGAACAUUUAGUAGAAAUACUUAAUCCAUGAUCAUUUACUAUAUUAAAACUACUUCCCAGAUUGUAUACCCAAUAACACAUGUGUGAGACAUUUGAGAAGGUGAGGAUUCCAAAUCACAGAGCACACUAAUUAGACAAAAGAAGAACCAAAAAAAUUAAAAUUUUAAGUGAUGAGGUCACAAAGAAGAAAGUAGAGGACAAACUUUUCUAAAUGUCAUUUUUAAAAUUCAACAGGUGGAGUGACAUGGAUGGAUUCCUUCGACAAUUCUUCAACAAUGUAUAUGAAAAUAAGAUGCAUGCUAAUGAAAACAACUACUGCAAGUACAACAACCCAGGGCUAUCAACAUUUAUCUUUGAUAGCUCAAAGUUGCGAUUAGAAAAUAAAAAAACAAUUUUAAGAUAAUCAAAACAUAUUUAACAAACUCUGCUAUUCAAAUUAACUUCAACUAAAACCAAUAAAAUCAAAUAUUUCAAAACCGAUUAUUAAGAAGCAUAAAAACUAUUUCCCCCCAAUUCCUAAACAAUAUACCAAAUUAAUCUAUAAAAAUAAAGCAACAAAAAUGCAAAAGAAUGAGUCAAAAGUUAAUACCUCAGGGGCGAGAUACUCAAGGACGGAGGAUAGAUAGACAGUAGCUCUGACACCAUAAUAUGUGCUCUAUUUGUCACUCGAUAAAUAUUAUAAUUAUGGUGGGGCAGAUGAUCAAGAAUUAGAUAUGAUCCUGCCACACAAAAUGGUAGUAGAAUUGAUGACUUCAACCAAAGAACACUGCAAGGGCAUUCAAAACAUUAAUUAGUCAAGAAUAUGGUAUGUUUCAACUCAUAACAUUGAGUACACAACAGCUUAUACUAAAACCCUAAGAAGAAAUUAAAUGUUUAAUUGGUUUUCAAGUAAUAGAAUGAAUCAAUUGAUGGCCUGAAUACACCACGAAAUAAAAGUAGAAAGAGCACAACAUCACCUUCACAGCUGGGGAACCAAUUAAACAUUUAAUUUCUGAAUACCAGAUAGUAAAGGUUUUGAAUGGAACACCAUAGAAGCCCAUUCCCAAUGCUUUAACGUAUGCCUCCUGGAAGUGUUUUUCCUUUUCAAGGUUAAAGAAAAGCUAAAAGCAUAAAGGAUGAUUUACAUAUAUCAACCAUGAAAGUUAUGCAUAACAGCAUAACCUAAUAACUUACUUUUUAAUUCAUUAAUAUAUAAAUAUAUCUAGCUACCUUUUGAUCUCUCUCUCACACACAGAGAGAGACAUAUAUAUCCAAAAUAGUGCCCCAGCAUACAAGAAUCAUGCUCCAAAAUGGUGGGAAUGAAUUAUGAAACAUAAUUUUAAAAGGAAAAAAGGGCAUGAGAGUAUAAGAUUUUUCUCAUGCAGGAUGAUAAAAGUAAAUAAUAUCUUAAAUAUCCCUUUCAUCUCAUAAAUAUGGAAAAAAACUCCUUUUUCUCAAAUAUCUUUCACUUCUUUACUAGUAUAUUUGUAGUGAACGUGUUUUUACUUAAAAUAAGGAAAAAAAACAACUGAAUAUUGGAAUUGAUUGCCCUUAAUCUCAGAGGGUGUUUUCCAGAUCAAGCUUCAAUUAAUCUAAGUUAGCAUAUAAAAUAAGUUGAUCUUCAAUAUUUUGGAUUGUUUCUCGAUUUGUGAGUGUUGACUCCUUGCGCACGUUCAAAUUUUAUCAGGCAUCCCCUAAGGGCCAAAACAUACGAUACCAACAAUUGAACCAAAAAUGCUAGACUUCUAUUCUUUUUUUCUUUUUCUUUUUGAAAUAAUAAGUCCAUGCUUUGAUGGUGAAUAACAUAGCCAAACAAAACAUGGUGAAUUACUCUGGAAAUCUAGCUGACCUUGAGUGUCCAUAAUUUUAUAAACUCCUGGCGCUGAAGUUCUUGGUCUAAAAUAGAAUUUAAUAGUUGCACCUCUUGUCGGGAAAUGUAUCUCGAAGCGAACUAUGAGAUAUUGUGUAUUAACUUUCGUUGCCUUUCUUCUACAUCAAUGCCAAUCUAUAUUCAGAAAGGUAACUAUAAUCAGUUCAAACUCAAUUAAGUAAAAAUAGCAGCACCAAAAUAAUAAAUGUCAAUUAUUUAAGAGAUUAGCUAUAAAUACAUAUAUUAGAUGUACAAAUAAGAAUGAUGAAGUCACUAACUGGAUAAUCCAUUGUCACUCCACAUGCUACCAAAGAUGCUUUGUGAAAUGUUGAAAUACAAUUGUGGUGGGUACCAAUCAUUGCUCUGUAGCCACUCUACCUAUCAACAUAUUUCAGAAAAAGUUUAAAGUGCAUACCACUGAGAAACAUGGCAAUGAAAAGAGCUAAGGUACAAUUUAAAGCAAACCAGCCUCAGUUUCCCAUGGAUGUUCUUCCUGAACUUCAAAGACCUUGGAAUAACUUGAUUUAUUUGAUCUAGUAAUAAAUGAUAUUGUUAAAGGCUUUAAUCUAUCAAAUAUCUUUUCAUAAAUUAAUGACAGACCAAUAAUAAUAAUAAAAAAAGACAUAAAAUAUUUAUGUUGGAAUGCUUCAGCAAAUUAUGAUCGUUCGCUUGUCAAUGAAGUACAAAGAAUAUACAGUCUCACAUCAUUAAUAGCAACAUGCCAUUUAUAACGGGCCUGACUUCCAAUCUCCAGUAGGUAUAAUUACCAGACAUGCUGACCUCAGAGGCUCAGACAGGAACAAAAUCCUAAAAUGUUUAUAAUCACAUUGAUGCUAUUUGGCAAAUUCUUGGAUUUCUUAAAAAAUUAAAAUUUUACGUCAAAAUGUUACUAUACUCAAUCAUAUAGAGUUUUCAAGAUCUCAAAAAAAAACUAGGAGUCUCUGUGUGCUUACUGUACCAGCAUAUAUGUUAAUAUGUAUAUUUUGGGAGUGUCACAAUCAUUUGACGAACAUUAUAUACUGAAGUAGUGGCUAACAUCUUUAAAAAAAUUUGUGUUUACAUUUACAAAAAUUAGGGAAAUUCCCCAUUAAGCUGACAGUACUCACACAUUAACACAUGUAUGAAGGUGGUGCACCUUAUGUGUCUUUGAUACAACACUACCUCACAGGCUUCAGUUUUAUAUUAUUCUUCAAGCAAAGAAAACAACAUAUUAUGAAUACAGAUAAUGAGAAGAACAGGAGAUUUAAGGUGAAAGAAGAAAAGGUGUAACAUGUGACGCCCCCAAAAUAGGUCCACACGACCCAUUCUGAGUCGCCAGAUAUCGUACUAUAAAAAUCAAAUACAAACUUCAUUUAUACAACUGUUGAACUGUCGUGCAGAGUACGACAACAGAUAAGCUGUGAGUUUUAAUACAAAUGUAUGUAACUCUCAUGGUGCCUCGACCACAACCUUACAAUGGUACUUUACAUAAAAUUACAGUCAAAAAUUGUUUUAGAAAUUAAAAUCUUAGAGAAGUGCUCAAGGAAACCUUCGUACAUGGGAGGCCAUGCGUCUAGGUUAUGAUAGAUAUCAUACUUCCACGGAAUUAUCCUUGGUUGACCCAAAAGUCCCCAAAGAAAAAUAAGAAGAUUACUAGCAUCUUCUUUCCAAUGGUGAGUCUUCUCUUGACAUAUAAUUAUCUUUGUUGUCUCCAAGUGAAAAUUAUAUUUCAAAUAUACUCCAAGAUCAUAUAGGUAGUGCUCGUAGAUAUACUCAGCAAGUGGAUGCGCACAACCAUGUCUUAUGAUAACACGAGGUUGUAUGUCAUUAGACAUCUUGUAUGAUAGUGGCAAAACACCCUUCCAAAGUUGGGUUCACCUCACCCUAUUCGGUUCACCAAAAUUAAAUAUCAAAUGACGUAUACAAUACGACAAACUUAUCUAAAGUUUUGAACAAAUUAUUUCCAUACUAUUUAGGGAGAACCUCAACAGCUAUAGACCACCGUUCUAAUCCUCUUAAUACCCCGCUCGACUCAGCUACACUUUUAUUACCUGAAAGGAAUUGUGAAGCAAAAGAAUGAGCACAACUAGCCCAGUAAAGAAUAUCAUGACUAAAGAUAAUUAAAUUAUCAAUAGCUUUCAUCAAUAAUAAAUCAGAGAUUUAGAAAAUAUGGUAGAUAAUAAAACUUUUUAACCAUAGUUGCAGCGGAAUGAGAAAUCCAUUAGAAGAGUCAAAUAGACCAUAAGGUCUAUUAUCUUCUCUAUGUUAAAAGUCCACCAAUAAUGUUUUAUCCCUGUAACAUCAAUCAACAAUUCCCGUCCACGAUCAUGUGAAUAACUCAUAAUCACAAUUGUGAUUCUAAAUUCCUCUUCGCACACAAGACGAAGAUAAUUUCCAUCACCUGUCUUUACCUGAACCACCACAGAUUAUAAUUAAAUCACAAUUCAUAUUUAUAAUCAAGUAAAUCAACAAUCCAACUUUGCACUACAUGCCAAAGAUAUACAACUGUAAAACCAAUAACCAAUAGUUCAUCUUUGCACUACAGGCCAAAGAUAUACAACUGUAAAACCAAUAACCAACAGUCCAUCUUUGCACUACAGGCCAAAGAUAUACAACUUUAAAACCAAUAAUCAACAGUCCAUCUUUACACUACAGGCCAAAGAUAUACAACUAUAAAACCAAUAAUGCUGAGACUCAGCUUAAUAGUAUCACGACCACGAAUUAUCCAUGCACUACGAACCAAAGAUAUUCGUGUUUUCAAUUACGAUCAUGAUUAUACCAAAUAAUCCCUGGUCAUAAUCAUACCAAGUCCAUCUAUGCACUACGGGACAAAGAUGACUUUUACCACAUCAUUUAUAACAUUACGGUCAUGAUUAUACCGAAUAAUCCCUGGUCAUAAUCAUACCAAGUCCAUCUAUGCACGUAAGCCACAGAUGACUUUCAACACAAUAUAAGCAUGAGGAUCAUGACAAUGAUAUAAAGAAUCAAUCAAAUGAGAUAAAGGAUAAAUAUUAAACAUUUAUAAUAUAAUUUAUCCAGGGUUCAAGAAUAUCCCAAUGUUAUCAAUCACUUAAUAAUCUCAUAAUCUAAUAUCAUUAAUAUUAUAACAAUAUUUUAAUCAUUUCUUAAACUUAUAAACAAUUUAUUUUAAUUGUUUACACUUUACCAAAUAAUGCAUUUAAUCAUCCUAAAAUGCCAAACUCAUAAGAUUUCAUCAUCAAUAACCAAAACCCUUAACAAAGAUCUGCAUAUACCUUAUAUAGGAUUCCCAAGCCAUAAAAUUCUAUUUUCCAAUUUUGCUACUUUACAUAACAUAUUUAAUUCAUUUACUUAUAACUAGUCCAUUUUCAUGAAAAAUACCAAAUCAGUUCCAAAACUAUUUCUUUUCUGGGAUUUAGCAGAAUAUAGUCUCAUAUUAAUUAUAUAUUUUUCUCGGAAUUUUUAAAAUUCAUUUACUAUUUUUCACAUGGCCAAAACCGCCGAAUAUGUAGACAUUUUUUAUAAACUGUACUUCUGCCCAAAAAUUCCAAAAUUUACACGGUAUACUCCUGUUAUAUACAUGUACUCCCAAUAAAAAUUUCACCAAUUUUGGAGUUAACCACAAGGAGUUAUAAGGGUUUACUUUUAAAAUAGUCUUUUCCCGUAAAAUUCAUAACUCUUAAUUUAUACAUCCAAAAAUCUCCAUUUUUGGACACAAUAUAGAAAACUCAUCAAAUUAUCAUUUCAAAUUUUUUCAGAAUUUUUGAGGGUCAGAAAAAUUACGAAAACUGCAAAUGGAUUUUUGCCCGCCAUGCGGUAAUCCACGUAGACAGAUUAUUUUAACAGAAUAAUAAAGAAUGGAAUAACAGAAGAAUUCACCAUGCAUGUGAUAGACCGCACAGACAGGUUAUUUCCAACAGAAUAAUAAAAAAAUAGAACCAGGUCAUGCGUAAUUCGCACAGACAGGAUGUUCCAACAGAAUAAUAAAGAACGGAACCAGGUCAUGUGUAAAUCGCACAGACAGGAUGUUCCAACAAAAUAAUAAAGAACGGAACCUGGUCAUCCGUAAAUGCACAGACAUGAUGUUCCAACAAAAUAAUAAAGAAUGGAAUAACAACAGAAUUCACCGGGCAUGCGAUAGACCGCACAGACAGGUUAUUCCAACAUAAUAAUAAAUAAUGGAAUAACAGAAGAAUUUCACCAUGUAUGCGGUACUUCACAUAGACAGGUUAUUCCAUAAUAAUAAAGAAAGGAAUAACAACCCUUACGAGUAUUGAAAGAAAAUAACUCUCUUCAUGAAUAUGAAAGAAUAAUACCCCUUACGAGUACAACAAAUAAUAUCCCUUACAAGUACAACAAAUAAUAUCCCUUACAAGUACAACAAAUAAUAUCUCUUACCUUAAAAGAAAUUGGAUAUAGGAGUAAUGAAGUAGCAGAAUACUUUUCUUCUUUCUCUCUAUAAUUUCUCUCUCUAGAGUUUUAGUGAAUUCGUAAGAAAUAAUGAAGGAAUGAGCUUCUAUUUAUAGGAGAAUGGGCUGAAUAGUAACUAAUUCACAAACGGUCCAGAUUGAUUUACUUUUAAACGGACGGUCCAUAUUGAUUUACUAUGUAGUAUUAAUAAAAUAUUCUAAUAAAACAAAAUCUUUUAAAUAAAAUAUAAUAUAUUCUAUUUAUANNNNNNNNNNNNNNNNNNNNNNNNNNNNNNNNNNNNNNNNNNNNNNNNNNNNNNNNNNNNNNNNNNNNNNNNNNNNNNNNNNNNNNNNNNNNNNNNNNNNCAAUUAGGUGACCAAACCUCUCCUUGACAGAACUUCUAGACAUCGUUAAUAUUGCAAAUAAUAAUAUUAAUAACUUUUUUAUCUCAAUUAUUAAUUUAAUAAUAUAAAAAAUAUCGACAAUAAUUGAAUCAAAUAACGUGAGAUACUAUGCAACAAUUACUGUAGCAAUAAUUGAACAAAACUGAGUGAUUUCUCACGUAAGCAUCAAUAAUCAAUACUGUGUGCUACUAUGCAACCACGCAUAUUACUGUACUUUUACUACCGAGUAGUUCAACAGUUUUAACAGUAAAACUUCCGCCGUUAUUUUCAUAAAAAAUAUUUUUGUCAUUUUCUCAAUUCGACAAUAAUUCCGUUGUGGGGUCCACCAAUGAUUGUACCAUCGUACGGAUAUUCCCCGACUAAUCGAAUAUUUCCCGACACAACGAAUAUUUUAUAUCAACUUGCUUACUUUGCAAAAUUUUCACAUAUUACCCUUAACUUUAAACUUUUAUCGAUUUAACUAUUUACCAAAAUAAAAAAAUUGAAUACUUUUAUUUCAUAAAAUUCGGGGUCUCACAUAACAGCCCUGCAGUCAACCUGUUAUUUUCGUUAAUUAGUGCUCUGAAUAUGAACACACAAAUAUACACUUGGAGAUUAUCACAUAAUCCAACAUGCCAAAUAAAUACGUGUAUCAUCAUUUCACUGCAAGCAUUAAAAAGCAAAUAAUUAGGCAAAAGCAUGUAAUGACGCCAAGAAAUAAAAAUGUGACAAUAAAACUCUUACCAACGUAACUAAUAUCCAUUACCAAUAAGAUAAUCAUUAAGCUUUUCAACAACAAUGUUGCAUUGCCCUAAAGUAAGCCAAGAAAAAGAAAAGAUUAAAGGAAAUAUGGCUUAAUAUAAAGCUUAAUGGUCAGCAAAUAUUCUUAGCAAUUGUGUGAAAUUUCCUUUUUCUUUAAAUUUUACCAAAAGGAUUACUCUCUACAUCUGAAUUUUAAUUACAUUAUUUCUAGCAGUUAUGUGGACUUGAUCAUUAUUACUAUGUAUUGUCUACAACGUGGGACUGAAUCGUGGGACUGAAAUUAGCCAAUUUGACAAUGCCAUAGAAUUCAAAGCCCAAACCUAACUUUGCAUGUAAAUUCUACACAGAAACUGCACAGCCAGGAAUCAGACGUAGUAAUUCAAGACGGAUCAAAUUAAAUACGACAAAAAUCAAAAACUUAAAAAGUGCAAGUAAAUUGCACUCGUCUCUUCUUGAGCUGAUUGUUGCUACUGUAGCAAAAACCAUGGAUUUAACAAUUUCUAUAAAAUAUUUGUUUCUGACACUUGUGCACAUUGAGAAAAUGCAGGAAGCAAUUCCAUGGAAAAAGUGCAAUAAAAUUGCACCAUAUAUUUAUUCAAUGUUUUCAAGUUAUAAUUAAGGCAUAAGAUAAGUUAUAACAGAAAUAGUGGUCAAUUUAAGAUAUGAUUUAAACAGCAGUACUUCAUUAACAGCAUCAAAGUAAAUUCCGUAUACAUAAUUAUAAAGCUACAAAAUCCCAACAACUGUAUGUUAAUAAAUUCAACAUGGAAAAUUAAGGUGACUAACAAUAUAUUCUUUAUCCAAAAAAUACUUGGUUCCAAGGUCCAUCCAAAUAUAAUAAAGAAGUCCCAAUUCGAAGCCCUGACAAAUGCAGCAGGUAGUUGCACUUAUAGAUAACCAACACCAUUAACAUGAAAUUUGAAUAAAUGGGUUGUCACAUGUAGUUUAGAUUCAAAGUCUUUAGGGGACCAAUUUACAAUAGAAAAAUCAAAGACUUGGUGGUAUUAUUAACAGUGAUACCUCUAGGACCCUAAAACCAAAGUUAAUAUAUGUAGUAGAAACAGUGUUUAAAUAUGUAGUAGUGAUUUAGGGGAUUAUAAUAAUAAAUAAAACAGUUGAUAUAAUUAAAUUACAAAGGAUAAUAUCAAGAUAGUUGAUAUAAUUAAAAACUUUUUAUAUCGGUAGUAGUGAUUUAGGGGAUUAUAAUAAUCAAUAAAUUAAAAGAUAACAAUUAAAUUUCAAAGGAUAAAUUAUUGUCAAGAUCAGCAAAGGGUGUAAAUCUAAUAGUUCAGCCAAAUGAGUUUCUUGCUAUGGUGUACUCAGCCAUUUAAGUUUCACGAGUGGACAAUUAAAAGAAUUUAUUACAAAACAUUAUUCAAAUUUUGGGAGAGAAUAAUUCACCAAGUAUUUUAAAAAUAAACUUCAGAUCAAAUCUAAUAACAAUAUUGGACAAAUCAUGAUACAAUCAAAAUAAUAAUAUAAUAGAUAAUAGAUAACACCGCCCUGUUCUCAAGCCAUAACCAUGGGCCAUAUUCAGAAAUCUUCCCCAAAAUCAAAGCCCUCCAUCUCCAAUUAUUGAAGGCCCAAAUUAAUUUAGCUUCUAACAUUUUUAUUUAAUUUAAUGUAUAGGGCUAAAGGAAUGACAAGGCACCCUACAGAGUACCUACAGGUUUUUCAGAGCCAUCGUAUAUAAAGCUCUCCCCUAUUUCCAUCCAGCCCUUACAUGAUAUAGAAGAAAGUAAUAAGAAGAUGGUUAAGAAGAUAAAAGAACUAAACCUAGAUUAUAUAAUCGGAUAUGGAUUUUCUACGUUUUUUCGGAUGCGCUUCCCAAACCCUAGAUACAUUCAUAAAUGCAAAUGGAGAUUGAGUUCUUGCCAUUUAUAGGCCCAACAAACAAUUGUUUUGACCAAUUUAUUUUCACCGUCUUUCUAUCCGAAUUUCUUACUCCAUUUUAGAUGAUAUAAUUCCCAUGUUAUUGAAACAACAAAAAAACACUUAUUUUUGUAUUUUAAGAUCAUUUUUUAAGAUCUUAAAAUACAAAAACCCGAUUACUGGAUUUUAUUGAUUAUAAUAUCCAUUCAUCAACUAGUUUCAAUCUGCUGAAUACCAACGGCCAUAUGGUUCUUUCAAUGUGCAUUUGUAAGCAUAGGCACCCAAUGCUAAGCCUUUUUCUUUACGAACACUAAAUUAUAUUUACAAAAUAUGAAACCAUGAUUCAAAAAUCACUCUUUUCAAAAAAUACUUGUUGUAAACAAGGACAUAACGAAUCAAAAGAUAAUAAUAAGCAAACGAAAGAAAUGUAAUGGCGUUUAGAGGCGAAUUUGUGACGAAUUGAAAGGGGAUUGUAGGCGAAAGGAAAUUUGGCAAAGCGUCGAACAUCACAAUAAAAUACAAACCAACUUUCAAGCACGAAAUUCAUACUAUGAUACCAUUUUAAAAUUUAAUGUAUAGGGCUAACGAGUGACAAGGCACCCUACAGAGUUCCUACAAGUUUUUCAGAGCCAUCGUAUAUAAAGCUCUCCCCUAUUUGCAUCCAGCCCUUACAUGAUAUAGAAGAAAGUAAUAAGAAGAUGUUUAAGAAGAUAGAAGAACUAAACCUAGAUUAUAUAAUCGGAUAUGAAUUUUCUAUGUUUUUUUGGCUGCGCUUCCCAAACCCUAGAUACAUUCAUAAAUACAGAUGAAGAUGGAGUUCUUGCCAUUUAUAGGCCCAGCAAACAAUGGUUUUGACCACAUUAUUUCCACCGUCUUUCUAUCCUAAUUUCUUACUCCAUUUUAGAUGAUAUAUUACCAUGUUAUUGCAACAACAAAAAAACCUUUAUUUUUGUAUUUUAAGAUCUUAAAAUACAAAAACCCGAUUAUCGAAUUUUAUUGAUUAUAAUAUACAUUCAUCAACUAGUUUCAAUCUACUAAAUACCAACGGCCAUAUAGUUCUUUCGAUGUGCAUUUGUAAGCAUAGGCACCACAUGCUAAGCCUUUUUCAUUACCAACACUAAAGUAUAAUUACAAAAUAUGAAACCAUGAAUCAAAAAUCACACUUUUCAAAAAAUACUUGUUGUAAACAAGGACAUAAAGAAUCGAAAGAUAAUAAUAAGCAAACGAAAGAAAUGUAAUGGCGUUUGGAGGCGAAUUUGUGAAGAAUUGAAAGGGGAUUGUAGGCGAAAGGAAUUUUGCCAAAGUGCCGAACAUUACAAUCAAAUACAAACCAACUUUCAAGCACGAAAUCCAUACUAUGAUACCAUUUUAAAAUUUAAUGUAUAGGGCUAAGGAAUGACAUGGCAUCCUACAGAGUACAUGCAGCUUUUUCAGAGCCAUCGUAUAUAAAGCUCUCCCCUAUUUGCAUCCAGCCCUUACAUGAUACAGAAGAAAGUAAUAAUAAGAUGGUUAAGGAGAUAGAAGAACUAAACCAAGAUUAUAUAAUCAGAUAUGGAUUUUCUAUGUUUUUUCUGUUGCAUUUCCCAAACCCUAGAUACAUAUAUAGACGGAGAUGGAGUUGUUGCCAUUUAUAGUCCCAGCAAACAAUGGUUUUGACCAAAUUAUUUCCACCGUCUUUCUAUCCUAAUUUCUUACUCCAUUUUAGAUGAUAUAUUCCCCUGUUAUUGCAACAAUAAAAAACACUUAUUUUUGUAUUUUAAGAUCUUAAAAUACAAAAACCCGAUAACCGGAUUUUAUUGAUUAUAAUAUCCAUUCAUCAACUAUUUUCAUUCUGUUGAAUACCAAUGGCCAUAUGGUUCUUUCAAUCUGCAUUUGUAAGCAUAGGCACCCCAUGCUAAGUUUUUUUCAUUGCCAACACUAAAAUAUAAUUACAAAAUAUGAAACCAAGAAUCAAAAAUCACUCUUUUCAAAAAAUACUUGUUGUAAACAAGGACAUAAAGAAUCGAAAGAUAAUAAUAAGCAAACGAAAGAAAUGUAAUGGCGUUUGGAGGCGAAGUUGUGAAGAAUUGAAAGGGGAUUGUAAGCGAAAGGGAAUUUGGCAAAGCGCCGAACAUCACAAUCAAAUACAAACCAACUUUCAAGCACGAAAUCCGUACUAUGAUGCCAUCUUAAAAUUUAAUAUACAGGACUAAGGAGUGACAAGGCACCCUACAGAGUACAUGCAGGUUUUUCAGAGCCAUCGUAUGUAAAGCUCUCCCCUAUUUGCAUCCAACCCUUACAUGAUAUAGAAGAAAAUAAUAAGAAGAUGGUUAAGCAGAUAGAAUAACUAAACCUAGAUUAUAUAUUCAGAUAUGGAUUUUCUACGUUUUUUCAGUUGCAUUUCCCAAACCCUAGAUACAAUCAUAGAUGCAAAUGGAAAUGGAGUUCUUGCCAUUUAUAGGCCCAGUCAACAAUGGUUUUGACCAAAUUAUCUCCGCCGUCUUUCUAUCCUAAUUUCUUACUCCAUUUUAGAUGAUAUAUUCCAAUGUUUUUACAACAAAAAAACACUUAUUUUUGUAUUUUAAGAUCAUUUUUUAAGAUCUUAAAAUACAAAAACCUGAUUACCGUAUUUUAUUGAUUAUAAUAUUAACUCAUCAACUAGUUUCAAUCUGAUGAAUAACAACGACCAUAUGGUUCUUUCAAUGUGCAUUUGUAAGCAUAGGCAUGCUAAGCUUUUUUCAUUACCAACACUAAAGUAUAAUUACAAAAUAUGAAACCAUGAAUCAAAAAUCUCUCUUUUCAAAAAAUAAUUGUUGUAAACAAGGACAUAAAGAAUCAAAAGAUAAUAAUAAGCAAAUGAAAGAAAUGUAAUGGCGUUUGGAGGUGAAUUUGUGACGAAUUGAAAGGGGAUUGUAGGCGAAAGGAAAUUUGGCAAAGCGUCGAACAUCAUAAUCAGAUACAAACCAACUUUCAAGCACGAAAUUCGUACUAUGAUACCAUCUUAAAAUUUAAUGUAUAUGGCUAAGGAAUGACAAGGCACCCUAUAGAGUACCUGCAGGUUUUUCAGAGCCAUCGUAUAUAAAGCUCUCCCCUAUUUGCAUCCAGCCCUUAAAUGAUAUAGAAGAAAGUAAUAAGAAGAUGGUUAAGAAGAUAGAAGAACUACACCUAGAUUAUAUAAUCGGAUUUGAAUUUUCUACGUUUUUUCGGCUGUUCUUCCCAAACCCUAGAUACAUUCAUAAAUGCAGAUGGAAAUGGAAUUCUUGCCAUUUAUAGGCACAGCAAACAAUGUUUUUGACCAAAUUAUUUCCACCGUCAUUCUAUCCUAAUUUCUUACUCCAUUUUAGAUUAUAUAUUCCCCUGUUAUUGCAACAACAAAAAAAACCCUUAUUUUUGUAUUUUAAGAUCAUUUUUUAAGAUCUUAAAAUACAAAAACCCGAUUAUCGAAUUUUAUUGAUUAUAAUAUCCAUUCAUCAACUAGUUUCAAUCUGCUGAAUACCAACGGCCAUAUGGUUCUUUCGAUGUGCAUUUGUAAGCAUAGGCACCCCAUGCUAAGCCUUUUUCAUUACCAACACUAAAGUAUAAUUACAAAAUAUAAAAUCAUGAAUCAAAAAUCACACUUUUCAAAAAAUACUUGUUAUAAACAAGGACAUAAAGAAUCGAAAGAUAAUAAUAAGCAAACGAAAGAAAUGUAAUGGCGUUUGGAGGCGAAUUUGUGAAAAAAUGAAAGGGAUUAUAGGCAAAAGGAAAUCUGGCAAAGCACUGAACCUUACAAUCAAAUACAAACCAACUUUCAAGCAUGAAAUCCGUACUAUGAUACCUUUUUAAAAUGGCUUAAAUAUGAAUUAGUACCCUAAACUAUAGGCCAUAUUCCACUUCGGUGAUCCACCUUUCAAUUUUGUCAAUUACAUGAUUAAACUUUCAAUUUUUUCCAAUUGCAACAAAUUGAAUAUGAUACGUCAGAAAUUGCUGACGUGGCUAAUUGUGUGUGGCCUUAAUAAGCUGAUGUGGCAAAAAAACAAUUUUUUAAUUAUUAAAUAAACAAAUCUGAUUAUGGGUGGGGCAAAAUCGUCAAAACCAAAUUAAAAUAAAAUAAACUUAUAUAUCAGUACCUUUCAUCCCUUCCAUUACAAUCGAUCGAUCAAGAUAAAAGCCCCAAAUCGCUCGACAAAUCCUAGCUCAACUGAAGCGAAGAAUUUUUGAGAAUCAACCAUUUCGGUACUCAAUCGGUUCAACAAUGAAGUAAGUAUGUGAUUUAGCUUUUCUCUGUUGCUCCGUUGCUACCCCAAAAGUAAAAAUCCUACUCAGUUCUCCUGAUAGUCCUACUAUCAUCUGGUGUGAUUUAAAAGAUUUAAGGAAAACAAGCAAGUUAGGGUUUCAGUUAUCUACCCCAAAAAUCCCUCCCUGAAAAUGGAAAUGACUGGUAUGGAAGAUGAACUGGAGUUGAGCGAGUGUCUUGAUUCAAUGGGUGAGACUCCAAGGUGCUAUUGUGGGUAUAGAGCUCGAAUGAAGAUAUCUUGGACUAAGAGUAAUUCAGGAAGAAGGUUCUUUGGUUGUCCACACUGGAGCAAGGUAUAGUAAUAUAGUCUUGGUUGGCUGAGUUUUACUCUUAUUCUCUAGGUACUAUAAAAUACACUUGUGUUGGAAUUGUAUUUAUGUUUUGAUUUGGUUUUUAUCAACCAUGCAGGACAAAUUGACAAGCAAACACUGCAACUUCUUUUGUUGGUAUGACCAAGAGAUUUGUAAAAGGUCUAAAGAAGUUUUACCUGAGUUGAAACUUAUGAUAAGUGCUCUGAAUUUAGAAAUAGAAAGAAAGAAGUAUGAAAUUGAGAGAGGCAAUGAAAAAAUAAAUGAAUUGGAAAAAAGUAAUGAAAAGCUUCAAAUUGAAUGUGUGGAGCAAAGUGAAGAGGUUGGAAGAUUGAGAGAGGUGAUUGAAUUGUUGAGAAGGAAGGAUAAAAUGUGUAGCACUUCUAUUAAAGCCAUAUUAUUAGGCAUGAUAUUUGUAUUCAUGUUAGGACAUCUGUAUGUGAAUGAUAGUGGUGAAUAAUUGUAAUUUAUAGUUUGAAUUAUGUAUAAAAGAACUAGUUUGCAAUGAAUGGUGAAAGUUGGUUUUAACCUAUGAAACCUUUGCAAUGAAUGUAAUUUUUAGAUUGCAAUGAAUGAUUGUAAUUUUUAGAUUUGCAAUGAAUGAGUUGUAUUGAUGAAAAAAGUUAGUUUGAAUUAUGUAUGGUUCAAGUCAAGCUGCAAUGUUAAAGGUGCACAAAGCACUGCUUUUCAUAUUUAUAACACUGAUUUUUUAACAAACUGCUGCAAACAAGCAUUGUUAUUUCCAUUGUUAUAACAAACUACUGUUAUAACAAACUGAUGUUAUAACAAACUGCUGCAAANNNNNNNNNNNNNNNNNNNNNNNNNNNNNNNNNNNNNNNNNNNNNNNNNNNNNNNNNNNNNNNNNNNNNNNNNNNNNNNNNNNNNNNNNNNNNNNNNNNNNNNNNNNNNNNNNNNNNNNNNNNNNNNNNNNNNNNNNNNNNNNNNNNNNNNNNNNNNNNNNNNNNNNNNNNNNNNNNNNNNNNNNNNNNNNNNNNNNNNNNNNNNNNNNNNNNNNNNNNNNNNNNNNNNNNNNNNNNNNNNNNNNNNNNNNNNNNNNNNNNNNNNNNNNNNNNNNNNNNNNNNNNNNNNNNNNNNNNNNNNNNNNNNNNNNNNNNNNNNNNNNNNNNNNNNNNNNNNNNNNNNNNNNNNNNNNNNNNNNNNNNNNNNNNNNNNNNNNNNNNNNNNNNNNNNNNNNNNNNNNNNNNNNNNNNNNNNNNNNNNNNNNNNNNNNNNNNNNNNNNNNNNNNNNNNNNNNNNNNNNNNNNNNNNNNNNNNNNNNNNNNNNNNNNNNNNNNNNNNNNNNNNNNNNNNNNNNNNNNNNNNNNNNNNNNNNNNNNNNNNNNNNNNNNNNNNNNNNNNNNNNNNNNNNNNNNNNNNNNNNNNNNNNNNNNNNNNNNNNNNNNNNNNNNNNNNNNNNNNNNNNNNNNNNNNNNNNNNNNNNNNNNNNNNNNNNNNNNNNNNNNNNNNNNNNNNNNNNNNNNNNNNNNNNNNNNNNNNNNNNNNNNNNNNNNNNNNNNNNNNNNNNGGUUCUUUCAAUGUGCAUUUGUAAGCAUAGGCACCCCAUGCUAAGUUUUUUUCAUUGCCAACAUUAAAGUAUAAUUAUAAAAUAUUAAGCCAUGAAUCAAAAAUCACUCUUUUCAAAAAAUACUUGUUGUAAACAAGGACAUAAAGAAUCGAAAGAUAAUAAUAAGCAAACGAAAGAAAUGUAAUGGCGUUUAGUGGCGAAUUUGUGAAGAAUUGAAAGGGGAUUGUAGGUGAAAGGAAAUUUGGAAAAGCGCCGAACAUCACAAUCAAAUACAAACCAACUUUCAAGCAUGAAAUUCGUACUAUGAUACCAUCUUAAAAUUUAAUGUACAAGACUAAGGAGUGACAAGGAACCCUACAGAGUACCUACAGGUUUUUCAGAGCCAUCGUAUAUAAAGCUCAACCCUAUUUGCAUCCAGCCCUUACAUGAUAUAGAAGAAAAUAAUAAGAAGACGGGUAAGCAGAUAGAAUAACUAAACCUAGAUUAUAUAUCCGAAUAUGACUUUUCUACGUUUUUUCAGUUGCGCUUCCCAAACCCUAGAUACACAUAGAUGGAGAUGGAGUUCUUGCCAUUUAUAAGCCCAGUCAACAAUGGUUUUGACCAAAUUAUUUCCACCGCCUUUCUAUCCUAAUUUCUUAUUCCAUUUUAGAUGAUAAAUUCCAAUGUUUUUGCAACAAAAAAAAACACUUAUUUUUGUAUUUUAAGAUCUUAAAAUACAAAAACCUGAUUACUGAAUUUUAUUGAUUGAAUAUUCAUUCAUCAACUAGUUUCAAUCUGUUGAAUACCAACGGCCAUAUGGUUCUUUCAAUGUGCAUUUAUAAGUAUAGGCAUGCUAAGCUUUUUUCAUUACCAACACUAAAGUAUAAUUACAAAAUAUGAAACCAUGAAUCAAAAAUCACUCUUUUCAAAAAUACUUGUUGUAAACAAGGACAUAAAGAAUCGAAAGAUAAUAAUAAGCAAACGAAAGAAAUGUAAUGGCGUUUGGAGCCGAAUUUGUGACGAAUUGAAAGGAGAUUGUAGGCGAAAGAAAAUUUGGCAAAGCGACGAACAACACAAUCAGAUACAAACAAACUUUCAAGCACGAACUUCGUACUAUGAUACCAUCUUAAAAUUUAAUGUAUAGGGCUAAGGAAUGACAAGGCACCCUACAGAGUACCUACAGGUUUUUCAGAACCAUCGUAUAUAAAGGUCUCCCCUAUUUGCAUCCAGCCCUUACAUCAUAUAGAAGAAAGUAAUAAGAAUAUGGUUAAGGAGAUAGAAGAACUAAAUAUAGAUUAUAUAAUCGGAUAUGGCAUUUCUACGUUUUUUCAGCUGUGUUUCCCAAACCCUAGAUACUUACAUAGAUGGAGAUGGAGUUCUUGCCAUUUAUAGGCCCAGCAAACAAUGGUUUUGACCAAAUCAUUUCCACCAUCUUUCUAUCCUAAUUUCUUACUCCAUUUUCGAUAAUAUAUUCCCCUUUUAUUACAACAAAAAAACACUUAUUUUUGUAUUUUAAGAUCUUAAAAUACAAAAACCUGAUUACCGGAUUUUAUUGAUUAUAAUAUCCAUUCAUCAACUAGCUUCAAUUUGCUGAAUACCAACGGCCAUAUGGUUCUUUCAAUGUGCAUUUGUAAGCAUAGGCACCCCCAUGCUAAACUUUUUGCAUUACCAACACUAAAGUAUAAUUACAAAAUAUGAAACCAUGAAUCAAAAAUCACUCUUUUCAAAAAAUACUUGUUGUAAACAAGGACAUAAAGAAACGAAAGAUAAUAAGCAAACGAAAUAAAUGUAAUUGCGUUUGGAGGCGAAAGGAAAUUUGGCAAAGCGCCAAACAUCACAAUCAAAUACAAACCAACUUUCAAGCACGAAAUCUGUACUAUGAUACCAUCUUAAAAUUUUAUGUAUAGGGCUAAAGGAAUGACAAGUGACAAGGCACCCUACAGGUUUUUCAAAGCCAUCGUAUAUAAAGCUCUCCCCUAUUUGCAUCCAGCCCUUACAUGAUAUAGAAGAAAGUAAUAAGAUGGUUAAGAAGAUAGAAGAACUAAACCAAGAUUGUAUAAUCGGAUAUGGCUUUUCAACGUUUUUUCGAUUGCGCUUCCCAAACCCUAUAUACAUUCAUAAAUGCAGAUGGAGUUCUUGCCAUUUAUAGGCCCAGCAAACAAUUGUUUUGACCAAAUUAUUUCCACCGUCUUUCUAUCCUAAUUUCUUACUCCAUUUUAGAUGAUAUAUUGCCCUAUUAUUGCAACAACAAAAAAACACUUAUUUUUGUAUUUUAAGAUCAUUUUUUAAGAUCUUAAAAUACAAAAACCCGAUUACCGGAUUUUAUUGAUUAUAAUAUCCAUUCAUCAACUAGCUUCAAUCUGCUGAAUACCAACGGCCAUAUGAUUUUUUCAAUGUACAUUUGUAAGUAUAGGCACCCCAUGUUAAGCCUUUUUCAUUACCAACACUAAAGUAUAAUUACAACAAAUGAAACCAUGGAUCAAAAAUCACUCUUUUCAAAAAUUACUUGUUGUAAACAAGGACAUAAAGAAUCGAAAGAUAAUAAUAAGCAAACGAAAGAAAUGUAAUGGCGUUUGGAGGAGAAUUGUGACGAAUUGAAAGGGGAUUGUAGGCGAAAGGAAAUUUGGAAAAGCGUCGAACAUCAUAAUCAAAUACAAACCAACUUUGAAGCACGAAAUUCGUACUAUGAUACCAUUUUAAAAUUUAAUGUAUAGGGCUAAGGAAUGACAAGGCACCCUACACAGUACCUGCAGGUUCUACAGAGCCAUCGUAUAUAAAGCUCUCCCCUAUUUGCAUCCAGCCCUUACAUGAUAUAGAAGAAAGUAAUAAGAAUAUGGUUAAGAAGAUAGAAGAACUAAACCUAGAUUAUAUAAUCGGAUAUGAUUUUUCUAUGUUUUUUUGGCUACGCUUCCCAAACCCUAGAUGCAUUAAUAAAUGCAGAUGGUUUUGACCAAAUUAUUUCCAUCGUCUUUCUAUCCUAAUUUCUUACUCCAUUUUAGAUGAUAUAUUCCCCUUUUAUUGGAACAACAAAAAAACACUUAUUUUUGUAUUUUAAGAUCAUUUUUUAAGAUCUUAAAUUACAAAAACUCGAUUACCGAAUUUUACUGAUUAUGAUAUCCAUUCAUCAACUAGUUUCAAUCUGUUGAAUACCAACGGCCAUAUGGUUCUUUCAAUGUGCAUUUGGAAGUAUAGGCACCCCAUGCUAAGCCUUUAUCAUUACCAACACUAAAGUAUAAUUACAAAAUAUGAAACCAUGAAUCAAAAAUCACACUUUUCAAAAAAAUACUUGUAAACAAGGACAUAAACAAUCGAAAGAUAAUAAUAAGCACACGAAAGAAAUGUAAUGGCGUUUGGAGGCGAAUUUGUGAAGAGUUGAAAGGAGAUUGUAGGCGAAAGCAAAUUUAGCAAGGCGCCGGACAUUACAAUAAAAUACAAAACCAACUUUCAAGCACGAAAUCCGUACUAUGAUACCAUUUUAAAAUUUAAUGUAUAUGGCUAGGGAAUGACAAGGCACCCUACAGAGUACCUACAGGUUUUUCAGAGCCAUCGUACAUACAGCUCUCCCCUAUUUGCAUCCAGCCCUUACAUGAUAUAGAAGAAAAUAAUAAGAUGGUUAAGGAGAUAUAAGAACUAAACCUAGAUUAUAUAAUCGGAUAUGGCAUUUUUACGCUUUUUUCUGCUGCGCUUCCAAAACCCUAGAUAUAUACAUAUAUGGAGAUGAACUUCUUGCCAUUUAUAGGCCCAGCAAACAAUGGUUUUGACCAAAUUAUUUCCACUGUCUUUCUAUCCCAAUUUCUUACUCCAUUUUAGAUGAUAUAUUCCCCUGUUAUUGCAACAACAAAAAACACUUAUUUUUGUAUUUUAAGAUCAUUUUUUAAGAUCUUAAAAUACAAAAAACCGAUUACCGAAUUUUAUUGAUUAUAAUAUCCAUUCAUCAAUUAGCUUCAAUCCGCUGAAUACCAACGGCCAUAUGGUUCUUUCAAUGUGCAUUUGUAAGCAUAGGCACCCCAUGCUAAGCCUUUUUCAUUACCAACACUAAAGUAUAAUUACAAAAUAUGAAACCAUGAAUCAAAAAUCACUCUUUUCAAAAAAUACUUGUUGUAAACAAGGACAUAAAGAAUUGAAAGAUAAUAAUAAGCAAACGAAAGAAAUGUAAUUGCGUUUGGAGGCGAAUUUGUGAAGAAUUGAAAAGGGAUUGUAGGCGAAAAGAAAUUUGGCAAAGCGUCGAACAUUUCAAUCAAAUACAAACCAACUUUCAAGCACGAAAUCCGUACUAUGAUACCAUUUUAAAAUUUAAUGUAUAGGGCUAAGGAAUGACAAGGCACCCUACAGAAUAACUGCAGGUUUUUCAGAGCCAUCGUAUAUAAAGCUCCCCUAUUUGCAUCCAGCCCUUACAUGAUAUAGUAGAAAGUAAUAAUAAGAUGGUUAAGGAGAUAGAAGAACUAAACCUAGAUUAUAUAAUCAGAUAUGGCUUUUUUACGUUUUUUCUUCUGCGCUUCCCAAACCCUAGAUACAUGCGUAGAUGAAGAUGGAGUUCUUACCAUUUAUAGGCCCAACAAACAAUGGUUUUGACCAAAUUAUUUCCACCGUCUUUCUAUCCUAAGUUCUUACUCCAUUUUAGAUGAUAUAUUCCAAUGUUAUUACAACAACAAAAAACACUUAUUUUUUGUAUUGUAAGAUCUUUUUUUAAGAUUUUAAAAUACAAAAACCCGAUUACUGGAUUUUAUUGAUUAUAAUAUCCAUUCAUCUACUAGCUUCAAUCUGUUGAAUACCAACGGCCAUAUUAUUUUUUCAAUGUGCAUUUAUAAGCAUAGGCACCCCAUGCUAAGCCUUUUUCAUUACCAACACUAAAAUAUAAUUACAAAAUAUGAAACCAUGAAUCAAAAAUCACACUUUUCAAAAAAUACUUGUUGUAAACAAGGACAUAAAGAAUUGAAAGAUAAUAAUAAGCAAACGAAAGAAAUGUAAUUACGUUUGGAGGCGAAUUUGUGACGAAUUGAAAGGGGAUUGUAGGCAAAAGGAAAUUUGGCAAAGCGUCGAACAUCACAAUCAAAUACAAACCAACUUUCAAGCACGAAAUUCGUACUAUGAUACCAUUUUAAAAUUUAAUGUAUAGGGCUAAUGUGACGACCCCAAAUCCAGGUACUUGAAACCCAAACUCGGUUCUCCACGAUACCAUUUCUUUAAGCUGAAUAAUACUAAAUAAUAAUACAUUCGAACUUAAUUUACAUACAUCAAAGUUUACUUCCCCAGGUACGUGACCUUCAAAUACAUUCCUUACAAUANNNNNNNNNNNNNNNNNNNNNNNNNNNNNNNNNNNNNNNNNNNNNNNNNNNNNNNNNNNNNNNNNNNNNNNNNNNNNNNNNNNNNNNNNNNNNNNNNNNNNNNNNNNNNNNNNNNNNNNNNNNNNNNNNNNNNNNNNNNNNNNNNNNNNNNNNNNNNNNNNNNNNNNNNNNNNNNNNNNNNNNNNNNNNNNNNNNNNNNNNNNNNNNNNNNNNNNNNNNNNNNNNNNNNNNNNNNNNNNNNNNNNNNNNNNNNNNNNNNNNNNNNNNNNNNNNNNNNNNNNNNNNNNNNNNNNNNNNNNNNNNNNNNNNNNNNNNNNNNNNNNNNNNNNNNNNNNNNNNNNNNNNNNNNNNNNNNNNNNNNNNNNNNNNNNNNNNNNNNNNNNNNNNNNNNNNNNNNNNNNNNNNNNNNNNNNNNNNNNNNNNNNNNNNNNNNNNNNNNNNNNNNNNNNNNNNNNNNNNNNNNNNNNNNNNNNNNNNNNNNNNNNNNNNNNNNNNNNNNNNNNNNNNNNNNNNNNNNNNNNNNNNNNNNNNNNNNNNNNNNNNNNNNNNNNNNNNNNNNNNNNNNNNNNNNNNNNNNNNNNNNNNNNNNNNNNNNNNNNNNNNNNNNNNNNNNNNNNNNNNNNNNNNNNNNNNNNNNNNNNNNNNNNNNNNNNNNNNNNNNNNNNNNNNNNNNNNNNNNNNNNNNNNNNNNNNNNNNNNNNNNNNNNNNNNNNNNNNNNNNNNNNNNNNNNNNNNNNNNNNNNNNNNNNNNNNNNNNNNNNNNNNNNNNNNNNNNNNNNNNNNNNNNNNNNNNNNNNNNNNNNNNNNNNNNNNNNNNNNNNNNNNNNNNNNNNNNNNNNNNNNNNNNNNNNNNNNNNNNNNNNNNNNNNNNNNNNNNNNNNNNNNNNNNNNNNNNNNNNNNNNNNNNNNNNNNNNNNNNNNNNNNNNNNNNNNNNNNNNNNNNNNNNNNNNNNNNNNNNNNNNNNNNNNNNNNNNNNNNNNNNNNNNNNNNNNNNNNNNNNNNNNNNNNNNNNNNNNNNNNNNNNGACUAAGGAGUGACAAGGAACCCUACAGAGUACCUACAGGUUUUUCAGAGCCAUCGUAUAUAAAGCUCAACCCUAUUUGCAUCCAGCCCUUACAUGAUAUAGAAGAAAAUAAUAAGAAGACGGGUAAGCAGAUAGAAUAACUAAACCUAGAUUAUAUAUCCGAAUAUGACUUUUCUAUGUUUUUUCAGUUGCGCUUCCCAAACCCUAGAUACACAUAGAUGGAGAUGGAGUUCUUGCAAUUUAUAAGCCCAGUCAACAAUGGUUUUGACCAAAUUAUUUCCACCGCCUUUCUAUCCUAAUUUCUUAUUCCAUUUUAGAUGAUAAAUUCCAAUGUUUUUGCAACAAAAAAAAACACUUAUUUUUGUAUUUUAAGAUCUUAAAAUACAAAAACCUGAUUACCGAAUUUUAUUGAUUGAAUAUUCAUUCAUCAACUAGUUUCAAUCUGUUGAAUACCAACGGCCAUAUGGUUCUUUCAAUGUGCAUUUGUAAGCAUAGGCAUGCUAAGCUUUUUUCAUUACCAACACUAAAGUAUAAUUACAAAAUAUGAAACCAUGAAUCAAAAAUCACUCUUUUCAAAAAAUACUUGUUGUAAACAAGGACAUAAAGAAUCGAAAGAUAAUAAUAAGCAAACGAAAGAAAUGUAAUGGCGUUUGGAGCCGAAUUUGUGACGAAUUGAAAGGAGAUUGUAGGCGAAAGAAAAUUUGGCAAAGCGUCGAACAACACAAUCAGAUACAAACAAACUUUCAAGCACGAACUUCGUACUAUGAUACCAUCUUAAAAUUUAAUGUAUAGGGCUAAGGAAUGACAAGGCACCCUACAGAGUACCUACAGGUUUUUCAGAACCAUCGUAUAUAAAGGUCUCCCCUAUUUGCAUCCAGCCCUUACAUCAUAUAGAAGAAAGUAAUAAGAAUAUGGUUAAGGAGAUAGAAGAACUAAAUAUAGAUUAUAUAAUCGGAUAUGGCAUUUCUACGUUUUUUCAGCUGUGUUUCCCAAACCCUAGAUACUUACAUAGAUGGAGAUGGAGUUCUUGCCAUUUAUAGGCCCAGCAAACAAUGGUUUUGACCAAAUCAUUUCCACCGUCUUUCUAUCCUAAUUUCUUACUCCAUUUUAGAUAAUAUAUUCCCCUUUUAUUACAACAAAAAAACACUUAUUUUUGUAUUUUAAGAUCUUAAAAUACAAAAACCUGAUUACCGGAUUUUAUUGAUUAUAAUAUCCAUUCAUCAACUAGCUUCAAUUUGCUGAAUACCAACGGCCAUAUGGUUCUUUCAAUGUGCAUUUGUAAGCAUAGGCACCCCCAUGCUAAACUUUUUGCAUUACCAACACUAAAGUAUAAUUACAAAAUAUGAAACCAUGAAUCAAAAAUCACUCUUUUCAAAAAAUACUUGUUGUAAACAAGGACAUAAAGAAACGAAAGAUAAUAAGCAAACGAAAUAAAUGUAAUUGCGUUUGGAGGCGAAAGGAAAUUUGGCAAAGCGCCAAACAUCACAAUCAAAUACAAACCAACUUUCAAGCACGAAAUCCGUACUAUGAUACCAUCUUAAAAUUUUAUGUAUAGGGCUAAAGGAAUAACAAGUGACAAGGCACCCUACAGGUUUUUCAAAGCCAUCGUAUAUAAAGCUCUCCCCUAUUUGCAUCCAGCCCUUACAUGAUAUAGAAGAAAGUAAUAAGAUGGUUAAGAAGAUAGAAGAACUAAACCAAGAUUAUAUAAUCGGAUAUGGCUUUUCAACGUUUUUUCGACUGCGCUUCCCAAACCCUAUAUACAUUCAUAAAUGCAGAUGGAGUUCUUGCCAUUUAUAGGCCCAGCAAACAAUUGUUGUAAACAACACUAAAGUAUAAUUACAAAAUAUGAAAUCAUGAAUCAAAAAUCACUCUUUUCAAAAAAUACUUGUUGUAAACAAGGACAAAAAGAAUCAAAAGAUAAUAAUAAGCAAACGAAAGAAAUGUAAUGGCGUUUGGAGGCGAAUUUGUGACGAAUUGAAAGGGGAUUGUAGGCGAAUGAAAAUUUGGCAAAGCGUCGAACAUUACAAUCAAAUACAAACCAACUUUCAAGCACGAAAUCCGUACUAUGAUACCAUUUUAAAAUUUAAUGUAUAGGGCUAAGGAAUGACAAGGCACCCUACAGAGUACCUGCAGGUUUUUCAGAAAAAAUCGUAUAUAAAGCUCUCCCCUAUUUGCUUCCAGCCCUUAGAUGAUAUAGAAGAAAUUAAUAAGAAGAUGGUUAAGAAGAUAGAAGAACUAAACCUAGAUUAUAUAAUCGGUUAUGGCUUUUCUACGUUUUUUUUGCUACGCUUCCCAAACCCUAGAUACAUACAUAGAUGGAGAUGAAGUUCUUGCCAUUUAUAGGCCCAGAAAACAAUGGUUUUGACUAAAUUAUUUCCACCGUCUUUCUAUCCUAAUUUCUUACUCCAUUUUAGAUGAUAUAUUCCCCUUUUAUUGCAACAACAAAAAAACACUUAUUUUUUGUAUUUUAAGAUCAUUUUUUAUGAUCUUAAAUUACAAAAACCCGAUUACCAAAUUUUACUGAUUAUAAUAUCCAUUCAUCAACUAGUUUCAAUCUGCUGAAUACUAACGGCCAUAUGGUUCUUUCAAUGUGCAUUUGUAAGCAUAGGCAUGCUAAGCUUUUUUCAUUACCAACACUAAAGUAUAAUUACAAAAUAUGAAACCAUAAAUCAAAAAUCACACUUUUCAAAAAAUACUUGUUGUAAACAAGAACAUAAACAAUCGAAAGAUUAUUAAGCAAACGAAAUAAGUGUAAUGGCGUUUGGAGGCGAAUUUGUGAUGAAUUGAAAGGGGAUUGUAGGCGAAAGGAAAUUUGGAAAAGCGCCGAACAUUACAAUCAAAUACAAACCAACUUUCAAGAACAAAAUUCGUACUAUGAUGCCAUUUUAAAAUUUAAUGUAUAGGACUAAGGAAUGACAAGGCACCCUACAGAGUACCUGCAGGUUUUUCAGAGACAUCGUAUAUAAAGCUCCCUUAUUUGCAUCCAGCCCUUACAUGAUAAAUAGAAGAAAGUAAUAAGAAGAUGGUUAAGGAGAUAGAAGAACUAAACCUAGAUUAUAUAAUCGGAUAUAGCUUUUCUACGUUUUUUCUGCAGCGCUUCCCAAACCCUAGAUACAUGCCUAGAUGGAGAUGGAGUUCUUACCAUUUAUAGGCCUACCAAACAAUGGUUUUGACCAAAUUAUUUCCACAGUCUUUCUAUCCUAAUUUCUUACUUCAUUUUAGAUGAUAUAUUCCCCUGUUAUUGCAACAACAAAAAACACUUAUUUUUGUAUUUUAAGAUCAUUUUUUAAGAUCUUAAAAUACAAAAACCCGAUUACCGAAUUUUAUUGAUUAUAAUAUUUAUUAAUCAACUAGUUUCAAUCUGCUGAAUACCAACGGCCAUAUGGUUCUUUCAAUGUGCAUUUGUAAGCAUAGGCACCCCAUGCUAAGCCUUUUUCAUUACCAACACUAAAGUAUAAUUACAAAAUAUGAAAUCAUGAAUCAAAAAUUACUCUUCUCAAAAAAUACUUGUUGUAAACAAGGACAAAAAGAAUCAAAAGAUAAUAAUAAGCAAACGAAAGAAAUGUAAUGGCGUUUGGAGGCGAAUUUGUGACGAAUUGAAAGGGGAUUGUAGGCGAAAGAAAAUUUGGAAAAGCGCCGAACAUCACAAUCAAAUACAAACCAACUUUCAACAACGAAAUUCAUACAAUGAUACCAUUUUAAAAUUUAAUGUAUAGGGCUAAGGAAUGACAAGGCACCCUACAGAGUACCUGCAGGUUUUUCAGAACCAUCAUAUAUAAAGCUCUCCCCUAUUUGCAUCCAACCCUUACAUGAUAUAGAAGAAAGUAAUAAGAAGAUGGUUAAGAAGAUAGAAGAACUAAACCUAGAUUAUAUAAUCGGAUAUGGCUUUUCUACAUUUUUUCGGCUGUGGUACCCAAACCCCAGAUACAUACAUAGAUGGAGAUGAACUUCUUACCAUUUAUAGGCCCAGCAAACAAUGGUUUUGACCAAAUUAUUUUCAUCGUCUUUCUAUCCUAAUUUCUUACUCCAUUUUAGAUGAUAUAUUUUCCCCUGUUAUUGCAACAACAAAAAACACUUAUUUUUGUAUUUUAAGAUCAUUUUUUAAGAUCUUAAAAUACAAAAACCUGAUUACCGAAUUUUAUUGAUUAUAAUAUCCAUUCAUCAAUUAGCUUCAAUCCGUUGAAUACCAACGGCCAUAUGGUUCUUUCAAUGUGCAUUUGUAAGCAUAGGCACCCCAUGCUAAGCCUUUUUCAUUACCAACACUAAAGUAUAAUUACAAAAUAUGAAAUCAUGAAUCAAAAAUUACUCUUCUCAAAAAAUACUUGUUGUAAACAAGGACAAAAAGAAUCAAAAAAUAAUAAUAAGCAAACGAAAGAAAUGUAAUGGCGUUUGGAGGCGAAUUUGUGACGAAUUGAAAGGGGAUUGUAGGCGAGAGAAAAUUUGGCAAAGCGUCGAACAUCACAAUCAAAUACAAACCAACUUUCAAGCACGAAAUCCGUACUAUGAUACCAUUUUAAAAUUUAAUGUAUAGGGCUAUGGAAUGACAAGGCACCCUAUAGAGUACCUGCAAGUUCUUCAUAGCCAUCGUAUAUAAAGCUCUCCCCUAUUUGCAUCAAGCCCUUACAUGAUAUAGAAGAAAGUAAUAAGAAGAUGGUUAAGGAGAUAGAAGAAUUAAACCUAGAUUAUAUAAUCUGAUAUGGCUUUUCUACAUUUUUUCGACUGCGCUUCCCAAACCCUAGAUACAUACAUAGAUGGAGAUGAACUUCUUGCCAUUAAUAGGCCCAGCAAACAAUGGUUUUGACCAAAUUAUUUCCACCGUCUUUCUAUCCUAAUUUCUUACUCCAUUUUAGAUGAUAUAUUCCCUUUUUAUUGCAACAACAAUAAAACACUUAUUUUUGUAUUUUAAGAUCAUUUUUUAAGAUCUUAAAUUCCAAAAACCCGAUUACCGAAUUUUACUGAUUAUAAUAUCCAUUCAUCAACUAGUUUCAAUCUGCUGAAUACCAACGGCCAUAUGGUUCUUUCAAUGUGCAUUUGUAAGCAUAGGCACCUUAUGCUAAGCCUUUUUCAUUACUAACACUAAAGUAUAAUUACAAAAUAUGAAACCAUGAAUCAAAAACCACUCUUUUCAAAAAAUACUUGUUGCAAACAAGGACAAAAAGAAUCGAAAGAUAAUAAUAAGCAAACGAAAGAAAUGUAAUGGCGUUUGGAGGCGAAUUUGUGACGAAUUGAAAGGGGAUUGUAGGCGAAAGAAAAUUUGGCAAAGCGCCGAACAUCACAAUCAAAUACAAACCAACUUUCAAGCACGAAAUCCGUACUAUGAUACCAUUUUAAAAUUUAAUGUAUAGGGCUAAGGAAUGACAAGGCACCCUACAGAAUACCUGCAGGUUUUUCAGAGCCAUCGUAUAUAAAGCUCUCCCCUAUUUGCAUCCAGCCCUUACAUGAUAUAGAAGAAAGUAAUAAGAAGAUGGUUAAGAAGAUAGAAGAACUAAACCUAGAUUAUAUAAUCAGAUAUGGCUUUUCUACAUUUUUUCGGAUGCGCUUCCCAAACCAUAGAUACAUACAUAGAUGGAGAUGAACUUCUUGCCAUUAAUAGGCCCAGCAAACAAUGGUUUUGACCAAAUUAUUUUCACCGUCUUUCUAUCCUAAUUUCUUACUCCAUUUUAGAUGAUAUAUUCCAAUGUUAUUACAACAACAUAAAACACUUAUUUUUGUAUUUUAUGAUCAUUUUUUAAGAUCUUAAAAUACAAAAACCCGAUUACCGGAUUUUAUUAAUUAUAAUAUUCAUUCAUCUACUAGCUUCAAUCUGUUGAAUACCAACGGCCAUAUGGUUCUUUCAAUGUGCAUUUAUAAGCUUAGGCACCCCAUGCUAAGCCUUUUUCAUUACCAACACUAAAAUAUAAUUACAAAAUAUGAAACCAUGAAUCAAAAAUCACUCUUUUCAAAAAAUACUUGUUGUACACAAGGACAUAAAGAAUCGAAAGAUAAUAAUAAGCAAACGAAAGAAAUGUAAUUGUGUUUAGAGGCGAAUUUGUGACGAAUUGAAAGGGGAUUGUAGACGAAAGGAAAUUUGGCAAAACGUCGAACAUCACAAUCAAAUACAAACCAACUUUCAAGCACAAAAUUCGUAGUAUGAUACCAUUUUAAAAUUUAAUGUAUAGGGCUAAGGAAUGACAAGGCACCCUACAGAGUAUCUGCAUGUUCUUCAGAGCCAUCGUAUAUAAAGCUCUCCCCUAUUUGCAUCCAGCCCUUACAUGAUAUAGAAGAAAGUAAUAAGAAGAUGGUCAAGGAGAUAGAAGAAUUAAACCUAGAUUAUAUAAUCGGAUAUGGCUUUUCUACGUUUAUUCUGUUUCGCUUCCCAAACUCCAGAUACAUACAUAGAUGGAGAUGGAGUUCUUACCAUUUAUAUGCCCGGCUAACAAUGGUUUUGACCAAAUUAUUUCCACCGUCUUUCUAUCCUAAUUUAUUACUUCAUUUUAGAUGAUAUAUUCCCUUGUUAUUGCAACAACAAAAAACACUUAUUUUUGUAUUUUAAGAUCAUUUUUUAAGAUCUUAAAAUACAAAAACCCGAUUACCGAAUUUUAUUGAUUAUAAUAUACAUUCAUCAAUUAGCUUCAAUACGCUGAAUACCAACGGCCAUAUGGUUCUUUCAAUUUGAAUUUGUAAGCAUAGGCACCCCAUGCUAAGCCUUUUUCAUUACCAACACUAAAGUAUAAUUACAAAAUAUGAAAUCAUGAAUUAAAAAUCACUCUUUUCAAAAAAUACUUGUUGUAAACAAGGACAAAAAGAAUCGAAAGAUAAUAAUAAGCAAACGAAAGAAAUGUAAUGGCGUUUGGAGGCUAAUUUGUGACGAAUUGAAAGGGGAUUGUAGGUGAAAAGAAAUUUGGCAAAGCUUCGAACAUUACAAUCAAAUACAAACCAACUUUCAAGCACGAAAUCCGUACUAUGAUACCAUUUUAAAAUUUAAUGUAUAGGGCUAAGGAAUGACAAGGCACCCUACAGAAUACCUGCAGGUUUUUCAGAGCCAUCGUAUAUAAAGUUCUCCCCUAUUUGCAUCCAGCCCUUACAAGAUAUAGAAGAAAGUAAUAAGAAGACGGUUAAGAAGAUAGAAGAACUAAACCUAGAUUUUAUAAUCGGAUAUGGCUUUUCUACAUUUUUUCGGCUGCGCUUCCCAAACCCUAGAUACAUACAUAGAUGGAGAUGAACUUCUUGCCAUUUAUAGGCCCAGCAAACAAUGGUUUUGACCAAAUUAUUUUCACCGCCUUUCUAUCCUAAUUUCUUACUCCAUUUUAGAUGAUAUAUUCCCCUUUUAUUGCAACAACAAAAAAACACUUAUUUUUGUAUUUUAAGAUCAUUUUUUAAGAUCUUAAAUUACAAAAACCCGAUUAUCGAAUUUUACUGAUUAUAAUAUCCAUUCAUCAACUAGUUUCAAUCUGUUGAAUACUAACGGCCAUAUGGUUCUUUCAAUGUGCAUUUGUAAGCAUAGGCAUGCUAAACUUUUUUCAUUACCAACACUAAAGUAUAAUUACAAAAUAUGAAACCAUGAAUCAAAAAUCACACUUUUCAAAAAAUACUUGUUGUAAACAAGAACAUAAACAAUCGAAAGAUAAUAAUAAGCAAACGAAAGAAGUGUAAUGGCAUUUGGAGGCGAAUUUGUGAUGAAUUGAAAGGGGAUUGUAGGCGAAAGGAAAUUUGGCAAAGCGCCGAACAUUACAAUCAAAUACAAACCAACUUUCAAGCAUAAAAUUCGUACUAUGAUGAUACCAUUUUAAAAUUUAAUGUAUAGGACUAAAUAAUGACAAGGCACCCUACAGAGUACCUGCAGGUUUUUCAGAGACAUCGUAUAUAAAGCUCCCCUAUUUGCAUCCAGCCCUUACAUGAUAUAUAGAAGAAAGUAAUAAGAAGAAGGUUAAGGAGAUAGAAGAACUAAACCUAGAUUAUAUAAUCGGAUAUAGCUUUUCUACGUUUUUUCUGCAGUGCUUCCCAAACCCUAGAUACAAUCAUAGAUGCAAAUGGAAAUGGAGUUCUUGCCAUUUAUAGGCCCAGUCAACAAUGGUUUUGACCAAAUUAUUUCCGCCGUCUUUCUAUCCUAAUUUCUUACUCCAUUUUAGAUGAUAUAUUCCAAUGUUUUUGCAACAAAAAAAACGCUUAUUUUUGUAUUUUAAGAUCUUAAAAUACAAAAACCUGAUUACCGUAUUUUAUUGAUUAUAAUAUUAACUCAUCAACUAGCUUCAAUCUGCUGAAUACCAACGACCAUAUGGUUCUUUCAAUGUGCAUUUGUAAGCAUAGGCAUGCUAAGCUUUUUUCAUUACCAACACUAAAGUAUAAUUACAAAAUAUGAAACCAUGAAUCAAAAAUCUCUCUUUUCAAAAAAUAAUUGUUGUAAACAAGGACAUAAAGAAUCGAAAGAUAAUAAUAAGCAAACGAAAGAAAUGUAAUGGCGUUUGGAGGUGAAUUUGUGACGAAUUGAAAGGGGAUUGUAGGCGAAAGGAAAUUUGGCAAAGCGCCGAACAUCACAAUCAAAUACAAACCAACUUUCAAGCACGAAAUCCGUACUAUGAUACCAUCUUAAAAUUUAAUGUAUAGGGCUAAGGAAUGACAAGGCACCCUAUAGAGUACCUGCAGGUUUUUUAGAGCCAUCGUAUAUAAAGCUCUCCCCUAUUUGCAUCCAGCCCUUAAAUGAUAGAGAAGAAAGUAAUAAGAAGAUGGUUAAGAAGAUAGAAGAACUACACCUAGAUUAUAUAAUCGGAUUUGAAUUUUCUACGUUUUUUCGGCUGUUCUUCCCAAACCCUAGAUACAUUCAUAAAUGCAGAUGGAAAUGGAAUUCUUGCCAUUUAUAGGCACAGCAAACAAUGUUUUUGACCAAAUUAUUUCCACCGUCAUUCUAUCCUAAUUUCUUACUCCAUUUUAGAUUAUAUAUUCCCCUGUUAUUGCAACAACAAAAAAACCCUUAUUUUUGUAUUUUAAGAUCUGAAAAUAUAAAAACCCGAUUAUCGAAUUUUAUUGAUUAUAAUAUCCAUUCAUCAACUAGUUUCAAUCUGCUGAAUACCAACGGCCAUAUGGUUCUUUCGAUGUGCAUUUGUAAGCAUAGGCACCCCAUGCUAAGCCUUUUUCAUUACCAACACUAAAGUAUAAUUACAAAAUAUGAAAUCAUGAAUCAAAAAUCACACUUUUCAAAAAAUACUUGUUGUAAACAAGGACAUAAAGAAUCGAAAGAUAAUAAUAAGCAAACGAAAGAAAUGUAAUGGCGUUUGGAGGCAAAUUUGUGAAAAAAUGAAAGGGAUUGUAGGCAAAAGGAAAUCUGGCAAAGCACUGAACAUUACAAUCAAAUACAAACCAACUUUCAAGCAUGAAAUCCGUACUAUGAUACCUUUUUAAAAUGGCUUAAAUAUGAAUUAGUACCCUAAACUAUAGGCCAUAUUCCACUUUGGUGAUCCACCUUUCAAUUUUGUCAAUUACAUGAUUAAACUUUCAAUUUUUUCCAAUUGCAACAAAUUGAAUAUGCCACGUCAGAAAUUGCUGACGUGGCUAAUUGUGUGGGGCCUUAAUAAGCUGAUGUGGUAAAAAAAACAAUUUUUUAAUUAUUAAAUAAACAAAUCUGAUUAUGGGUGGGGCAAAAUCGUCAAAACCAAAUUAAAAUAAAAUAAACUUAUAUAUCAGUACCUUUCGUCCCUUCCAUUAUAAUCGAUCGAUCAAGAUAAAAGCCCAAAAUCGCUCGACAAACCCUAGCUCAACUGAAGCGAAGAAUUUUUGAGAAUCAACCAUUUCGGUACUCAAUCGGUUCAACAAUGAAGUAAGUAUGUGAUUUAGCUUUUCUCUGUUGCUCUGUUACUACCCCAAAAGUAAAAAUCUUACUCAGUUCUCCUGAUAGUCCUACUAUCAUCUGGUGUGAUUUAAAAGAUUUAAGGAAAACAAGCGAGUUAGGGUUUCAGUUAUCUACCCCAAAAAUCCCUCACUGAAAAUGGAAAUGACUGGUAUGGAAGAUGAACUGGAGUUGAGCGAGUGUCUUGAUUCGAUGGGUGAGACUCCAAGGUGCUAUUGUGGGUAUAGAGCUCGAAUGAAGAUAUCUUGGACUAAGAGUAAUUCAGGAAGAAGGUUCUUUGGUUGUCCACACUAGAGCAAGGUAUAGUAAUAUAGUCUUGGUUGGCUGAGUUUUACUCUUAUUCUCUAGGUACUAUAAAAUACACUUGUGUUGAAAUUGUAUUUAUGUUUUGAUUUGGUUUUUAUCAACCAUGCAGGACAAAUUGACAAGCAAACACUGCAACUUCUUUUGUUGGUAUGACCAAGAGAUUUGUAAAAGGUCUAAAGAAGUUUUACCUGAGUUGAAACUUAUGAUAAGUGCUCUAAAUUUAGAAAUAGAAAGAAAGAAGUAUGAAAUUGAGAGAGGCACUGAAAAAAUAAAUGAAUUGGAAAAAAGUAAUGAAAAGCUUCAAAUUGAAUGUGCGGAGCAAAGUGAAGAGGUUGGAAGAUUGAGAGAGGUGAUUGAAUUGUUGAGAAGGAAGGAUAAAAUGUGUAGCACUUCUAUUAAAGCCAUAUUAUUAGGCAUGAUAUUUGUAUUCAUGUUAGGACAUCUGUAUGUGAAUGAUAGUGGUGAAUAAUUGUAAUUUAUAGUUUGAAUUAUGUAUAAAAGAACUAGUUUGCAAUGAAUGGUGAAAGUUGGUUUUAACCUAUGAAACCUUUGCAAUAAAUGUAAUUUUUAGAUUGCAAUGAAUGAUUGUAAUUUUUAGAUUUGCAAUGAAUGAGUUUUAUUGAUGAAAAAAGUUAGUUUGAAUUAUGUAUGGUUCAAGUCAAGCUGCAAUGUUAAAGGUGCACAAAGCACUGCUUUUCAUAUUUAUAACACUGAUUUUUUAACAAACUGCUGCAAACAAGCAUUGUUAUUUCCAUUGUUAUAACAAACUACUGUUAUAAAAAACUGAUGUUAUAACAAACUGCUGCAAACAAGCAUAAUAUUAAAAGCAACAGAUGAUAGAUGCAUAAUAUUAAAAGCAACAGAUGCAUAAUAUUAAAAGCAACAAUGUGCACCACUUCCAAAAAUAAUGACUUUAGCAUUAAAGCAAUUUGUUCAACAUGUAUAGACAAAGCCACAUAGCUGUCAUACAUAAUGUGCACCACUUGCAUAAAUUAAACCAAGCUGUCACAGUUUGCCAAAACAUAAUACUCCCUCCGUUCCAAAUUAAUUGCUCAGUUUUGACUUUUUAAAGUCAAAUUGACCAUUUUUAAAAUUAAUCUUUUAACUAUUUUUGCUAAAAUAUAGGUGAAGAGAUUAUAACCAAAAGAAAGUAUAUACAAUUUAUUACUAAUCUCAAUUUUUAUAAUUUUAGAAAUAUAUUUAUAUAUGCUUAAUUAUUAAUUCUAAAAAUAGUCAAUUUAACUUAAAAAGGUCAAAACUGAGCAAUUAAUUUGGGACGGAGGGAGUACUACAUAACUUAGUGGCUGACAUAAUGUGCACCACUUGCCAAAACAUAAACCAAAAACAUAAGCUAGAGUAUUUAGCUCUAUUCAAAUACUACAUAAUAUUAAUUGGUUGAACUCCUAUAAUACUAAUAAUAUCCAUCAUGCAUAACUUGAACUAGAUAUCCACAAAUUUCUCUUUUGCCUUUGCAUCCUGUCUUGUAUUCCUUCCAUUGAUUAGUUGAUUUGCAGAAAUCCAAUUUCUUCCCCUAGAUUGGAAUGUAGAUGGCCUCAUGGCUGACAUGGAUGUUGAACCUUGAGUAUUCUCUUGGCUUUGAUUGUGAGGAUUUUCUUGACUUACAUUAGAACCAGUUGAAAUCUAAAAAGUAUUAAACAAAAACAAUUAGUAAUGUAUGCUUUAAUAAAGUAAGCAUGCUAGACAACAGAGGUAGUAUUUACCCUAGUAUAUUGUGCCCCACUUGAUAUGUAAGACUCCUCACUUGCAGAUACGUAGACACCAAACCCAUCUCUACCUCCACUUCUCCCUUUCCCUCUCCCUCUCCCUGGUGGCCUACCUCUUCCUCUUCCUUGACCUCUAGUGCCUGGGGGCCUACCCCUUCCUCUUCCAGUCCCUGGUGGCCUACCUCUGCCUCUUCCACUUGCUGCAGCUGUAACAUCUCCACUUGUCUCUGCACUACUUGUUGCUCCUCCACCUCUCUCUGCAGUUCACAGAAUUAAACAGAUGCAUGUUAGUUUUCUUUGCAAAUUAAGUAAAAAAAAUUGUAUCUUUGCAAAUUAGUUGUAGUUACCUUUUUCCUUUUGAAGCUUUUGAAAUGAUGUGUUCUUGCAAGUGCUCAUAUUAUGACCAAUCUGAUUGCACCUCCGACAUGUCAUCAAAAUUCCUUUUUCGACAAUCUUCCACUUGCACCUAUCUUAUGUUCCUCAUGUAGAUAUUUAAUCCUUUGUUUUUUUGGCCUUCCAGGAAGCACUUUAAGUUUUGGGGAUAAUAACUUCUCCUUGCCUGAAGGUUCCCACAAAUCUGGUCCAUUUAUACCUUUCAAUGGAAACUGAUAAGAUGCCAAGUAAGCAUCUCUCUUAAGUAUUGCAUAGACAUAUUCAUCUCGUUCCUCCCUUUGCUCAUAAAUGGCAGCAACUGCAUGUCUACAAAGGAUACCAUCAAGAUCUCAAGCUCUACAAGCACAAGUCUUGUUCACCAAACUUACUGUCCUACCUUCAAGUCCACCAUCCCUUUUUACUUCAUACCCCUCAAAACCAUCCCACUUAGCAUCAUACAAGAAACUAUCAUUCUUUGCAUCCUCUAAUUUUUUCCUAAUUCUAGGAGGCAGUACAUCAUCACCUCUCAACAUCAUUAUCUCGUUUCUUAUCAAUCUCUCCAUAAUAUGCUCUCUCAUAUCCUCAAGCAUCUCAAUUAUAGGCUUUUGUCUUGCAGCAACUAUCCAACCAUUGAAUGUUUUUGACAAAUUGUUGGUGGUGAUAUCACACUUGCACAUGUCACUGAAGAAAGCUUUGCACCACUAUUUUGCAUCUUGUUUUGACAACUGCUCAUGUGCCUCUACACUUAACUGUUUCAGUUCUUCCAUUUGAUCCAUGUAAUGCUUCCUAGUUAAACUAUUAGAUAUUUUUGAGAAUGAGGAUUUCAACUCAAAUCCUUUGUUCUUUUUCCGACAGUUUGCGUAGAUGUGUCUAGCACAACAUCUAUGUUCAGCUUGAGGUAUAAUUGUCUUGAUUGCAUUAUCCAAACCCUACACAGAAACAUGAUUGCAUUAGCUAUAUAUAACAAACAUUUAUAAUAUAGUAAAUGCAAAAUAAAAUAAAAUGAAGUACCUUUUGUUGGUAUGUUAUCACUAUGAGACCAUAUCCUCCACCGAGAUAACCUAGAUCAUCCAUUAAAACAUGCAAAAACCAAGUCCAGCUGUAUGUGUUCUCAACCUCUACUACUGCCCAAGCAAUGGGAUACAUUUGAUUAUUUGCAUCCCUCCCAACUGCACAUAACAACUCACCCUUACAUAUUCCUUUGAGGAAACAUCCAUCAAGGCCAAUUAUUGGCCUACAACCUGCCAACAUUCCUCUUUUCAGAGCAUUAAAUCCUAUAUAAAAUCUUUGAAAUCUCCCUGGUUCCUUUGGUGACUGCCUAUCUACUUUGAUUUCAAAUGUUGAUCCUUUGUUAGCCCUCAUCAAUUCCUUCUCAUAGUCCCAUAACUGUCCAUAUAUAUCAUCAAUUGUUGCAUAAGCACGCUUGAGUGCUAUUUCUCUGGCCCUGUAGCACUGACUCAGUGACGCUCUAACUUUUAAAUGCUUCUUCACUUCCCAUUGGAAUUCUGAGUUUCCAAAAUGGACAUGCUUUUAUUUCAUCAUAAUAGUGCUUGGCCAAAAACCUUGCAUUUACUUGUCUAUUUUUCUGUUUAUUUGUGUACUUGCGAACAUUGUUAUACCUUUUAACAGUAAAAGUGUUCUCAUGUUUCAACACACUUUCCCAUAAAUUACAAGGGCAACCCUGUGCACACUUCACUUGUACCUUAUCCCUUGUAUUUUUUGGAAACCAUACAUUAUACUUUUUUUCAAUUGCAUAUUGUUUCACUGCCUCUUUAAAUUCCGUGGUUAGUAAAUUUCAUUCCAACAAAAAAUUCAACAUUUUUAAUGUCAGUCUUUGGAUUAAACUCAAGAUAUUUUCUCUUUCUUAUAUUGGUUUGUUUCGCCUCAUCAUCUUCAUUCUCACUUGUUUCAGGUGUGUGCAGCUCAUCAAAGUCUAAGUCAAUUUCAUCCCAACCUUUAGCUUGUUCUCUUUGCCCACCUUCAUCAACAGGUCCCUGCCCACCUUCAUCAACAGGUCCCUGUCCAAUUUCAUCAACAUCAACAUCAACAUCAUUUCCUCCUUCAUUUCCUUCUUCAUUUUCUUCAUUUGUUUUUCUUCUUAUGUUCCUCUUUUUCCCUCUCUUUUGUUGCUCUCAAAUUUUGCCUAGCAGCAAGUAACUCUUCAUCACUCUCAACUAACCAGUCACAAUUACUACUUAUAUCAGAGUCUGUAUCUCCUACUCCUUCAUAUUCUAUAUCCUUCUCAUUAUCAGUCUGAAGCACAUCAACCUCAAUCUCUUCUACUCCCUCAUUAUUUGAAUGUUCUUCAAUGUUAACAUCUUUUAAAACAUCAACAAAUCCCUCACUGUCAUCAUCUAUGUUCACAUCAGUACUUACUAUUUCAUGUUCAUGGUCUGAGUAUAUCUCAACAACAGGGUUCUUCUUAGCAAUACUCACACAUGUCAAUAACUCCUUUAUCAUAACCUACUGCCCUAGGCACUUCUGCUAAACUUUGUCCAGGGAUAAGAUAAUAUACAUUUUUCACAUUCUUGUUUCCAAGUAUUGUUGAAACAUAAUCAAUAAUCCCAGGCCCAGUUAUAUAAUUAGGAUCAUAUUUAAACAAUUCACUAACAGCGCCUCCAACAUAAUCAACUAUAUCACCAUUAUUUAUUAGUUUACCACCAUAAUGAAAUCUUAAAGUAAUGACAUCCAUUUCUACAUUAAAAAAAUAUAUAAAAAUAUUUAUAUAUAUAUAUAUAUAUAUAUUUAACAAGUACUAAACAUAAAGUAAACAAAUAGGGACCUCACAUGAGUUAGGGAGAUAAAACUAUGGGGAACUAAGAGGGAAUACUACUUUACAGUUAGGAGACUACAUUUUCUUAGCAAUACAAACAUAAUGCCCAAAUAUCACACAUAUUCAAACCAUAAACAUACACUUACUUCGCUGAAACUUCGAAAGUGGGGACCUAAAGUAGGGAGCUUUGUUGUUUGUGCUUAACGCCGACUCAGCAAAUAUUGCACAUGCACGGUCCUUCUUCGCUGGAAUCGUGAUGAAAUCGUGUCGGAAUGGUUGUCUGGUUCACCAAAUUCUUCGCCAAGAAUCGAUGAUUUACAGAAAUGGCUUCGGGUUUUUUUGAGCGAUUUGGGCUUUUGUCUUGAUCGAUCGAUUGAAAUGGCUGAGAUAUUUAGAAAUAAGUUUGUUUUAUUUUAAUUUGAAAUGUUAAUUUGGUUUUAACGAUUUUGCCCCCACCCAUAAUCAAAUUUGUUUAUUUAAUAAUUAAAAAAUUAUUUAUUUUGCCACAUCAGCUUAUUAAGGCCCCACACAAUUAGCCACGUCAGCAAUUUCUGGCAUGGCAUGUUCAAUUUGUACUAUUUUGAAAAAAUGAAAAGUUUAAUCAUCUAAUUGACAAAAUUGAAAGGUGGAUCAUCAAAGUGGAAUAUGGCCUAUAGUUUAGGGUACUAAUUCAUAUUUAAGCCUUUUAAAAUUUAAUGUAUAAGGCUAAGGAAUGACAAGGCACCCUACAGAGUACUUGCAGGUUUUUCAGAGCCAUCGUAUAUAAAGCUCUCCCCUAUUUGCACCCAGCCCUUACA